rnacentral:lncRNA from 1 species
AUGAACUAUGGCAUGCAAACACCAUGGAGAGUCUCCCUCAUGACAUUGUGAUGCUCCCAUUGCUGAGUAUGGAUAAGGCCAAUGUUGCGCACCUUUCAUUGAUUGACUGGGAUGGUGGAUUCUCAUUAGUUUCCAUCGACUUGAGUAACAUGCAAGUGAUGGGCCCAGUCAUUACAUACCUCAAAGGGAAGGAUGAUACUGCUGAUGCUGACAUCGUCGAGGAAAAGAAAGGAUUAGGUGCACACUUUAUUCCAUCCGAAUUCCCCAAGUUCCUGGAUCUCAGGUAACUUCAGCGUUGCCUCCCACUUUUACUUGAGCACAAUUUUUUUUCAUGCAGCCUUUUGCUCUCUUUUUUUCAGCAGUUAAGGUUUCUGCCAUGUUAUUCUUGAAACCUUUGAGGAAUCAACAGAAUGUGCUGGUUGCUGGGAGUAAUAUGGAUCAAUGUUUUCAAGUCUUUAUGUUGAGUCUAGUCGCUGGGGUACCAACUAGAUGGCUAAUCGUGACUAGGCAACGAUUAAAUGGCGAUUAGCUAUGAGACCAGUCGAUCCACCCUUGCCUAUAGUAGAGAAUGAUAGAGUAUAACACAAAGGUGACGAACUGAUCUCUUGGUUUGAGCCCAACACAUAAUUGUUUUUUUUGGAUUCUUCAAUCUGAAAGUGCAUAAUAGCGUGCCAGCGUUGUGCUUUGUUUCCUUCACUAUUUUGAUUCUACAUGUCAAAUUAUUGAAAGGUUUUGUUCAGUUACCAACAACAUGGAUCCUUAGAAGUAGGUGGCACCCAGCGAAUCAGCAUCAUAUCGAAGAACCCCUAGGUCUUCUAAACAAACCGGCUGGAAUUGUGGAAAUCAAUUAAACUUAAUUAUAUCCAUAGUGCCUUCCUUGUAUAUCAUGUUUCAUUCAGCCAGUAGUAACCUCAGCAACUUGACGGUCUUGGGAAAUUAGGCAAUGGUAGUCUGCCUGAGGUUAAUAUAGGCCCUUUUUGUAUCCGCUUAUUUCCUGCUUAUCAAUGGAAAUAAGCGAUAAGCCCACCCAAAUGCCUAGCUUAUUUCCCGCUUACCUCCCAAGCCGCUUAGCCCACAAUCUGGAAAACAACUAGCGUCCCGCUUAUUCUCUAUGCGGUCUUGGGGCCGCUUCUUGGGCAAGCGAAGCGCUUUUUCCUGAUACCCUCACCCGUCCGCUGCCUGCCGCCCUCCGACCGUCGUCGGCUCCGUCCGCCGCCCGCCUGCCUCCAUCGCUUCCCUGCACAAAUCCCAUCCAGAUCCCGUUGCCAUCAGUCACCAGCACUCCUGCCCAGAUCCCGUCGCCGCCGGUUCCGUUCGCUGCCCGCCGCCGGCCGACCCUACGCUUGGCCCCCUGUGCUUGGCCUCCGGCCGGCCCUGCUGUUCUUUUUUGUGAAGGAGGUGGCGGAGUGCUGGCCGUCUACUGCUGAGUGUUGGUCGUGAGCAGCAUUUGAGCUCGCCGUGCGUGCUGCCGUUGUUGUUGAGAAGGAGCUAGAUAUGGGUGCAUUGCGUCAUGUUAUUGCUGUCGCUAUGGUUCGUGAUUCGUUGUUGUACUCAUGAUGGAUGUUUCCAUACUAGACCGUUCUGUCAUAUGAAUUUCAUAUUAUUGUAAUGAAAUUUCUAUUUAACAAACUCCAAAAAUAUUGGAAUUAUUAUCUUCUCCUCAGAUUCACAAUAAAAAUGAGCUAUUAUCAGCCUCAGGGGCAUUCAGGUCAAUUUACUAGCCAGGACAGACAAUCGACACAAAAUAAUCAGGAUUGCCAAACACCCAGCUUAUACAGACAGCGGAUUCUCCAGACAGCAGGCAGGCUUUUAAGAUAAGCCUGCUUGCCAGAUAAGCGAGUUCAGAAAAACGUAUACAAACAGGACCAUAAAUGUUUCACAGCUUAUUCUGUUGCCUAACUGUUGCUUGUCACGUUGAUCCCAAAAUCGACCAUAAGCUAAGUUAUUUUUUCUUAAUGACGUCCGAGGCACCUGAGAAUCUUUUAUAAUUCUUGGUAACCAUGGAUACUAUCAAAAUAACUUCAGCAAUGGGUGAAUCUAAGACUAUGGGAAGCCUAAAUUUCGAUUUGUACAGAUUAUCUCUGCUGAAAAAAAUUAUUGAAAUCAUCAGCAUGUGUUGUAGCUGACAAUUAUUGUUUCCUAUUUGUAUUGAUGAAGUUCUUGCUACUGUAUUGCAGGAAGAGAGAGAAUCAUCCAUAAGUCCUGUCACCAUAUCGGCUGGCCACCGUCGUCAUGUGUGUUGCUUCUUCAUUUUCCAGUUCUGUUGUGCUGGAUUCUACUGCCGACUUUGUUGAUUGGCUACUACAAUUCUGAGUUUAGUCCUCAGCUUUUGUGUGUUCCCUGCACUUGUGUACUAUAAAUAGCCAGGAAAAACACCUUUACCCGGCUCAUCCGUUGAACUAUAUGAUAAUGCUAGAUGAUGUGUCCAUGCCUUACUAACGUCUUCUACAUGCCAUGCGAGUUAAAAAUCCUGCAAUCAUGUUUCGUGGUAGCAGUUUACCUUUGCACAAUGAAACUCCUCACUAAACCACAGUUCAAUUUGAGGGACUACUGCGUUGUUUUUACAGGGAUCUAAUGCCAUCAAUCAAAUUGUAAAAUACAGACAGGUACGCGUGGAAUGGACACUUGUGUUCAUUCAGAUUUUUGUGAUAUUUCAUACCUAAUGAUUACCAGGUUGUCACGCCCCUACAUGCAAAAUUGGUCUACGAGAUGGAAUAUAAGCUCAAAAGGACGUGAGAGCUGUAUUAUCAUGUAGCUCAUGACCUGGCAGAAGUGAAUAGUUGCACGAAAUACAACAUUGCAAACAAGGUUUUUAUUCAUUUUCUCUGCUGAUGGCACAUGGUAGCAGAAGCAGUGCCACCAAUUGGUGAAAGAUUUUCAGUAAACUGAGUGUUUGACAGAACAAUAUGAUGCCACCAAAGCAAUCUGCAUGAGUUCUCUACCUCCGGAAGUCCAGAUGGUUGCUCUGUUUCAUUCCUCACCAUGGUCAUGGCAGGGCGUGAUGGCACCCCCCCCCUCCCUAGGCGGGGCGCGGAGGCUGCAGGUUCAACUCAGAGUUUAGACCUUAACUUGUUCGUGAGCAAUGCAGAAUGCUACAAAUGUAAUACAGUGGGCAUGCAUGAUGCUGAAACAAACUAGUGCAACUUUUAGUGGAACAAUUGAUGAAUUAUGAUGUGUUGUCCAAGUAAAGGAUCGGUGGUGUUGUUUUGCUGAUCUUUUAGCAAAAAUCUAGUGAUAGUGUGUGGAUAUAUAUCCUAAGUUCCUAAUAACUCAUAGAUGAACAAUGAAUGCUAUAUUGAAUUGAAGCCAUGUUUGUUCUAUUCAAAAUGCAGGGAGCAUGCUCGAGCGGGCUUGGGGGGUCAUGGAGGGUCUGCUAAUGCUGGCACAAAGCCAGACUGGUUCCUUGAAGGGUGAGUAAUUAAUAUCUUUGAUUCAUCUAAGCAGUGCAAAAGUGAUGUGCUUAAUGCCUUGGACAAUGAAGCACCAGCUACUUCUAUGUUUUUUCCACCAAGAUUAGCUCAUGAUUUUGUCACUUUUUCCCACAACCUGCAAGUUUUGAAGCACUUUACUUUUGCCAUGUUAGCCAAAAUUUGGAGACAAGUACAAAGAGUAAGGAUAACCAACUCAUUUCUAGUAUUGGAGCAUCAAAAUCUAGUUCUGGAGCAUCAAAAAGGUAAUACACAGAUCUUAAAAAAUUGGUCAUACUGCUAUUGCUAUUUUGUUGCUACUGUUAUUUUGUUGUCUUUUGUUCAAAUCUAGUUCUAGCAUACACAUGUCAAUAUCAGAUUCAAAUGAACCUCCGCCUACUGCUGCUCCAGUCAAGGCAAAGAGCAAAAGGAAAAAGGAGCCUACUAAAAUGAAAACCACCAUUUCUAUACUGCCACUUGACAGCCCUACAAUGGGCCAAAAAACAAAAGGGUGGAUCCUGCUAGCCCUGCAAUGAGCACAAGGAGCAAAAGAAGGCUCAACCUGUGAUCCUUAUGAAUCUAUAAAUUUGGACUCCGCCAUGAAUCUUUUUAUAUAUCAACCUUUGUGUGUGAACUUGCAUGUGAAUUUGAACUCCUAUGUGAACUUGCAUGUAUAUGUGGUGCCGUUCUGUGAGCUGUUGCGAUAAAAGGAGCUAAGCCUCAGAGCGUUUCCUAGGAUCUGAAUGAAUUUUUCCUUCUUUUUUCUGCUGUCCAGAUCUACUUCUGAGGGAGUUGGAUAUAUUCUAAGGUGCUUGCCAGGUGUUCAAGAGAGGAUUCUGCUUGUUUUUCGUGCGUGUAUAAUGGAGCAACAAGUGGAGGAGGCGAACGGAGCAGCGGUGGAGACCUGCCACAGGGUGCUUGCUUUGCAGAAAAAAAUCAGAAAAAAAAGGCAGGCAGUCGCGUGCAUGCUCCCAGCAAGGAAAAUGAGGCAGAAAAAAAACAAAAAAAUGGCAGCUGCAUGCGCCCGCGCGAUCUGCAUGCACCGGCCAGUCUGCAUGCGUCAGGAGAAGAAGACCCACCUGCACACACCCUCCUUCCCACCCGGCCAGGCCCAGACGCAGGAGACAAGAGAUUAAAGAGGAUAAAUCGAAUCAAUAGCCAACUCCUCUCGUCGUCCUCCCCUCCAAAUCGAGGUAUACCCCAAACCCUAGCCAUCCCCAAUCCGGCCGCCGCGUCUACCGAUCCGUUAGAUUCAUGGCCGCCGCCGCUGCCGGCGACUCCGCUGUACCCAACUGGGUGAUGCUGGAGCGCUUGGUCUUCCGGAGGGACGACCCCGCCUCCUUCCGCGAGGACAGGAGGACCUUCGCUUCCGGCACCACCUCCGCCGGCACUCAAUUCGACGUCUCCUUCAUCCUCGCCGAGCCUCCCACCCCCUCGCGCCUCUACCUCUCGUGGCCGGAAGGGCCCAAGCAGGGGAGCCAGGGCCUGGUCAUGGCGGCCAACCGCAACCUCGUCCUCCUCAGGCUCGAGUACCGCGUCGACGAAUCCGUGCAAUUCGGGGAGGUAGUGCAUGAUUACUUCAUCUACAUAGCUGAUCCCUCCUCACAGCGGAAACCCCUGCUCAGACGGCUGCCCCGCUGCACCGAGUACAACGAUUAUUUUGAGAGGCAAGUUACUCGCGCGUUUCCGGUGCUGGCUGUUGGUCUGUUGUGCCAUGGCGAAGACGAGUUUGCCGUGGCGCAUCUGGCCAUCAGGUCUCGCAAAAAAAAAUCAGGGUCUCGCAAAAAAAAAAUCAUCUAUGCAAGCUGAGCUAUGCGUGCUACGCUCGUCAUUGUCCUGCAGUGAUGAUGCCAAAUGGGAGACCAAGGUCUUUCCGCUACAGUACCAAUACGAUGAUUUAUACUAUGAUUUUCUGAACUGGGAAGUGGAUGGUGUAGUUCCCUUCAAGAAUGCCUUGUGCUGGGUUAACUACUGUAGAGGCAUCCUUUUCUGCGACGGCGUCUCUGAAGACAGACCCAAGGUCUCCUACAUCCGCUUGCCUCUGGAUACUUAUUUCCAAGGGACUGAUGCCGAUGGACGCAAGGGGAUGUACCAUGGCUUGUGUGUCACUGAAGGUGGCCAUCGGUUGGUAUUUGUUGAUGUUGCCCGUCAUGAUGGAAAAUGUUAUGGCCCGAGGAUGCCCAACACUGGUUUCACCCUCACCUCCCGGACAUUGAAGAUGACAGGGAAUUGCACCAUGCCGUGGGAGUGGAAUGAGGAUGCUGUUGUCACUUCAGAUGAACUAUGGCAUGCAAACACCAUGGAGAGUCUCCCUCGUGACAUUGUGAUGCUCCCAUUGCUGAGUAUGGAUAAGGCCAAUGUUGCGCACCUUUCAUUGCUUGACUGGGACGGUGGUAGAUUCUCAUUAGUUUCCAUCGACUUGAGUAACAUGCAAGUGAUGGGCCCAGUCAUUACAUACCUCAAAGGGGAGGAUGAUACUGCUGAUGCUGACAUCGUCAAGGCAAAGCAAGGUUUAUGUGCACACUUUAUUCCAUCCGAAUUCCCCAAGUUCCUAGAUCUCAAGUAACUUCAGCGUUGCCUCCCACUUUUACUUGAGCACAAUUUUUUUUCAUGCAGCCUUUUGCUCUCUUUUUUUCAGCAAUUAAGGUUUCUGCCAUGUUAUUCUUGAAACCUUUGAGGAAUCAACAGAAUGUGCUGGUUGCUGGGAGUAAUAUGGAUCAAUGUUUUCAAAUCUUUAUGUUGAGUCUAGUCACUGGGGUACAACUAGAUGGCUAAUCGUGAUUAGGCAACGAUUAAAUUUGCGAUUAGCUCUAAGACCAGUCGAUCCACCCUUGCCUAUAGUAGAGAAUGAUAGAGUAUAACACAAAGGUGACGAACUGAUCUCUUAGUUUGAGCCCAACACAUAAUUGUUCUUUGUGGGUUCUUCAAUCUGAAAGUGCAUAAUAGCGUGCCAGCGUUGUGCUUUGUUUGCUUCACUAUUUUGAUUCUACAUGUCAAAUUAUUGAAAGGUUUUGUUCAGUUACCAACAACAUGGAUCCUUAGAAGUAGGUGGCACCCAGCGAAUCAGCAUCAUAUUGAAGAACCCCUAGGUCUUCUAAACAAACCGGCUGGAAUUGUGGAAAUCAAUUAAACUUAAUUAUAUCCAUAGUGCCUUCCUUGUAUAUCAUGUUUCAUUCUGCCAGUAGUAACCUCAGCAACUCGACGGUCUUCUGCCUGAGGUUAAUAUAGGCCCUUUUUGUAUCCGCUUAUUUCCUGCUUAUCAAUAGAAAUAAGCGAUAAGCCCACCCAAACGCCUAGCUUAUUUCCCGCUUACCUCCCAAGCCGCUUAGCCCACAAUCUGGAAAACAACUAGCGCCCCGCUUAUUCUCUACGCGGUCUUGGGGCCGCUUCUUGGGCAAGCGAAGCGCUUUUUCCUGAUACCCUCACCCGUCCGCUGGCUGCCGCCCUCCGACCGUCGCCGGCUCCGUCCGCCGCCCGCUUGCCUCCAUCGCUUCCCUGCACAAAUCCUGUCCAGAUCCCGUUGCCAUCGGUCACCAGCACUCCUGCCCAGAUCCCGUCGCCGCCGGUUCCGUUCGCUGCCCGCUGCCGGCCGACCCUACGCUUGGCCCCUGUGCUUGGCCUCCGGCCGGCCCUGCUGUUCUUUUUUGUGAAGGAGGUGGCGGAGUGCUGGCCGUCUACUGCUGAGUGUUGGCCGUGAGCAGCAUUUGAGCUCGUCGUGCGUGCUGCCGUUGUUGUUGAGAAGGAGCUAGAUAUGGGUGCAUUGCGUCAUGUUAUUGCUGUCGCUAUGGUUCGUGAUUCGUUGUUGUACUCAUGAUGGAUGUUUCCAUACUAGACCGUUCUAUCAUAUGAAUUUCAUAUUAUUGUAAUGAAAUUUCUAUUUAACAAACUCCAAAAUUAUUGGAAUUAUUAUCUUCUCCUCAGAUUCACAAUAAAAAUGAGCUAUAAAUUCGGAGUACAAGAUAAUUGGAGUCACGUACAACAAUAAGAAGCUAGCAUGCGUGUAUAUGGGCACGGAGUCCAAAUCGGCUUCAUUGGAUUGAUCGGCAAGGAGAGGCAAGGAUGAUAUAAAGGAAUGGCCAGCACGUAUGGAUAAAAAUGAUUAGAAUAUACAACAUGGAUUCUGGUGCACUUUGCAUGCCAUGCGUGGGAUGCUUCCAGAAUAAUUAUGCAUGCGGCCGAUCUGUGCAUGUACGGGAGGUUGUUUCAUAGAAUAAAAUAUUUUAGAGAUAGAGUUGGGUUAGUUAGAGAUAGAGUUUUUUAUUAGAAAAGAUUGUGUACGUGACUUGCCUUGUGCGUGGUUAGAUACCAAUUAUGUAACGUCCGCCCUAUAAAUAUAAAGGGACGUGGCCAUUGUAAAGAAUAAUCACACGAUCAAUAAACAAACAUAUUUACCUUUACCUUUCGGCUCCACGCCAUUGCCCUAGGAGUAGGAGUAAUGUAGUUUCUCGAUGAGUUCCUUCUAGCAAGUUGGGCUGCAUCGACCUCGAUCUCCGGCGAGCUGCAAGUUCUUGUCACCAGGUGUUCUAGGCUUUAACCACCGGGCGCAUCGCUGUGGUUUCGUCUAGUUUCAUCUACCAGUUAUCGAGUAUCUUGGAUCUUUGACUUAUGGCGCAUCGCUUCUGUCUCGAUCUACGGUAUUCGCCAGUUAUCCCGCCUUGAUUAAGCUUGCAUCGGCUGAUAUUUAUCUGUUCUAUCAUCUUGCCAUUUACGACAUAUUAAUUGUUAUUAAUUCUGUCGGAAUAGACGAUAGAUCUAUUUUUAAUAGCCUGUUGCAUCUUAAUCUUGGUUACCCCUUCGAGUGCUGUUGGGAUUAAGUUUCGUUAUGAUUGGAUUCAUCGGCUGGCGGGGUUCAGAUUAACAUCCUGCUAAAUAUUUCUAGACUGCAACUACCGGGCGCAUCGCUGUGGUUUCACCUGGACAUAUUAGCGGUGACGUUACUUUAGAUCUCAUCGGUUUGUGGCUCUAGCUAUGAUGGGACAACAACUCAACAUCAUCUCGUUUCCUAUCGGCCGUCUGGCUGAUGGUUAUUGUAAAUUAUAUUAAAUCGGCUGGAUGGCCGAUGAAUCACUUACAUUCAUCAAGGUACUGGAAUCGGCUUCACAGCUAAUAUAUUUAUCAUGAUUUCUUUUGUUGCACCAUUAUCGCUAUUGUGCCAGGAUUAUAUCGGCCUGAUCGGCCGGUUGCCUCAGACUUCACAAACGACUAUCAUCUCCUUGUCAGUUGAAUGGUCAAACUGACUGGCACGCUCGCGCACACCACGCGCGCCGAUUUGGAUUCUGCACUGGAGUUAAGCAGAUCUCCCAGGUCCUCAUGUGCUGAUGCAGGGUCCACUACCGUCGGGAUCUUGCGUCAACAAUCAGCCUCAGGGGCAUUCAGGUCAAUUUACCAGCCAGGACAGACAAUCGACACAAAAUAAUCAGGAUUGCCAAACACCCAGCUUAUUCAGACAGCGGAUUCUCCAGACAGCAGGCAGGCUUUUAAGAUAUGCCUGCUUGCCAGAUAAGCGAGUUCAGAAAAGCGUAUACAAACAGGACCAUAAAUGUUUCACAGCUUAUUCUGUUGCCUAACUGUUGCUUGUCACGUUGAUCCCAAAAUCGACCAUAAGCUAAGUUAUUUUUUCUUAAUGACGUCCGAGGCAUCUAAGAAUCUUUUAUAAUUCUUGUUAACCAUGGAUACUAUCAAAAUAACUUCAGCAAUGGGUGAAUCUAAGACUAUGAGAAGCCUAAAUUUCGAUUUGUACAGAUUAUCUCUGCUGAAAAAAAUUAUUGAAAUCAUCAGCAUGCGUUGUAGCUGACAAUUAUUGUUUCCUAUUUGUAUUGAUGAAGUUCUUGCUACUGUAUUGCAGGAAGAGAGAGAAUCAUCCAUAAGUCCUGUCACCAUAUCGGCUGGCCACCGUCGUCAUGUGUGUUGCUUCUUCAUUUUCCAGUUCUGUUGUGCUGGAUUCUACUGCCGACUUUGUUGAUUGGCUACUACAAUUCUGAGUUUAGUCCUCAGCUUUUGUGUGUUCCCUGCACUUGUGUACUAUAAAUAGACAGGAAAAACACCUUUACCAGGCUCAUCCGUUGAACUAUAUGAUAAUGCACUAUGGGAAACCUUAAAGUUGCUGAGUGUAAUUACUUCGCCGAGUGUAUUAUUGCGGGCACUCGGCGAAGGACCGGUUUGCCGAGUGCAAUACUCGAAACACUCGGCAAACAUAAUACACUCGGCGAAAACACUAUUUGCCGAGUGCCACCAAAAAAACACUCGGCAAACACCCACGGGGCACUCGGCAAAGAUGGAGCACUUGGCAAAGUGAUGAGCACGUGACUUCCCCGUGCCGCGACGGGCCGGCGCCGUGACGGACGUUAGGCUUUGCCGAGUGUCGACGGGGGGCACUCGGCAAAGCCACUAGUUUGCCGAGUGUCGUGAUGGAACACUCGGCAAACCUAUUACUUUGCCGAGUGUCGUCAUGGGACACUCGGCAAAGUGGCGAGUAUGCCGAGUGCUAGAGGGAACACUCGGCAUACUUUAGGGUUUGCCGAGUGUUUUUCGACACACUCGGCAAAAGUAAUUUUUUUCCCUCCUCCACCCUCCAAACUUUUUACACUCCACAUGUAUGGCAUUUGGCACUGCAUGGUAGAAGGUGGACUAUUUUUUAACCUGUUUGCUAUAUUUAAUCAAUUAAUUUUAUUUAGAGUAAUUUUUUUAUUUAAGUCAAAUUUGAACUGCAGGUGAUUGGAAUAAUGGAAUAAUAUGAGUGGAAAAAUAUAUUCAUGUUAGUGAGUCCAAAUUGAGGUCUCACCCAGAAAAUGAAAAGAAAUUUCGAACAUUUUGCUAAGGAAACACGACUACGAACGUGUGGCCAAAUGAUUGUUUAAUUCUCAAAAAUACAAACGAAGUUUGAAAAUCACGAGAUUUUGCAAGAUGCUAUCAUUUCAUAUGCAGAGGCUGUGGUAAAAAAUUAACAAGAUUUCGCACAAGUUUUGACAUAUGAUGUUUAGAAUUCGAAGCAUCUCCGGAGAGGAUUCGUAGAAGUUGGAAGGAUCCGGUAAGAUUUUGAGACGAAUCGAUACAUGUAUUUCUCAUUGAGUCCCAUUUUUUUUAUAGGCUAUAGAGAACAUAGAUUGGUUCAUGUCAAAUUUUGGGAAUUUUUCAGAUCCGUUUGGUAAUUUUUAUUCAUUAAUUGCACAAAUUUAAUAGAUAUAAAUUUAAUAUGAGCUAUAAAUCCAUGAAAUGAUGGAACAAUAUUACUUAAAAAAUGAAAUACGCAAUGUUUAGUGAAUUUGACAAGGUUUUUGCAAACUUUACAUACUUUUAAUUAAUAAAACAAGUUUGACAUGAAAUAAUAGUACCUAUUUGCCGAGUGUCAAGGGAUGGCACUCGGCAAAGAGCCUAUUUGCCGAGUGUCAACCCUGGGACACUCGGCAAAUGUCGCCGCGGUCCACCUGUCAGCCGCACUUUGAAAUCCGAAAAAAAAAAUUAAAAAAAAAAUUGUUUCCCGAGUGCUCCUGAUCUAGCACUCGGCAAAGGCUUUGCCGAGUGCUAGAUCAGGAGCACUCGGCAAAGCGAGUGGCCUAACCACUCUUAGCGCAUCACGCGCCUCACGUGGACAGGCACAGGCACAACACGAACACGCACACGCCCGCGCCCGCCCGGCCCCCCACGCCCGCUCCGCCCGCCUGCGCCCGCUCCGCCGCCGCCCAGCCUCCCGCGCCCGCUCCGCCGCCGCCCAGCCCCCCGCGCCCGCUCCGCCGCCCCGCACCGCCCGGCCGCGCCGCCGCCGCCGCCCCGCGCCGGGAUCCGGGUGCCGGCCGCCGGCCCCCCGGCCUCCCCCGCCCCGCCGCCGGCCGUCCGCGCACGGGCGCGCCCGCCCCCGGCCGCCCGCGCCGGCCCCCCGCGUCCGCUUCGGCCGGCCGCGGCCGCCCCCGUCCGGCCGCCGCACCGUCCCCCGGCCGCCCCUGCUCCUCUAUUCGUGGCCGUCGCCCCUCCGUCACCCCUCCGGUAAGUUUCUAUGCCACUACACAUCAUAAAUUAGAGUAGGCAUGAAAUUAGAAAUUAGAAAUUAAAUGUUGAAAAUACUAGAGAGGUGGUAGGAUGUGGUAGCAUUUAUUUUAGAAAUUAGAGGCAUGGAUUUAGAAAAUUCGAGAAGAAGGAAGAGUGGAAAUCAGAAAAUGUUGAAAAGAAUAGAGGUGUGGUUGGUUGUGGUUGUGGUUGUUGGCCAUCGUGCCAACUCUUUGGUGAGAUUGUGGUUGUCGGCUAUCGUGCCGUUUAUUAUGUUGCAGGUUUUGGAAACCUCCCCGUGCAGGGGAGUUGCUGCCGAAAUUUUGACUUAAACAGUGCUUUGUUUCUUUUGUUGCAGGAGAGGCUUACAAGGACCGUCCUCGACUCGUCACUUUGCAGGAUAGCAAGGUGAGGCAUGCUACACCUCUCUUUCCGUAUAAUGUUCGCAUAUCACGUAACCUAGUUAGGCGUCUCCCGUUCGAAAGAGAUACGGUUGCAAAUAUGCAGAUUUUUGCAUAUCUAUAAUCGUAUCUGUUUCGAAUUGUCCACGUUUUUUGGACAGCCCGAGGAUGUGUAGGUGGGUUUAGUAUCCAUGAUCUAUUUCGGUCCGAGAUAGAGUUUCGGCAGCACCUCCCUGUUGUUCUCCAGAUACACAAUCUCCUAUCAAGGACGUGUAUUUGGAGAAUAGCGGGGAGGUGCUGCUGAAAUUUUAUCUCGGGUCGGAGUAGACCAUGGAUACUAAACCCACCUACACAUCCUCGGGUGGGAUUAGGACCUAUCUUUACCUAGUAGACAAUAUAGGAACGUGUAUAUGCAAUGUGAAUUUUGUAUUACUCAUUUAAAUGGUAGAGGAUGGAGGAUCGUCAGUGGAUGUACACGGGUCGCACUAGUCAGAAUACGUUGACCAAUGAAUGGCUUGACAAGACGGAUGCUUUCUUGGAACGGGCGUUUGCAAGUGUCAAUGGAGCUCGAUCGACUUGGUGUCCGUGCAGCAAAUAUGGAAACAUGCGUCGGCAAACCAAGCUAAACAUGGGCAAACAUCUGGUGAAGAACGGAUUUACGUCAGACUACACCAGGUGGAUCUACCAUGGUGAAUCUGACCGUGGGAGAGAGGAGGUCUUGAGACAACGCAUCGAGGAAUUUGAUGAUGAUGCCGGGGUGGGAGACAUGUUAAAUGACUAUCAUGAAGCACACUUCGAAGAGGCACGUAGGGAGGAGGAGCCAGAGGCUACCGCUAAGGCUUAUUACGAAAUGUUUUCUGCGGCACAGCAACCCCUUCACGGCCAUACCAAGGUUUCUCAGCUAGAUGCCAUUGCACGCCUAAUGGCUGUGAAGUCUCAGUUUAGUUUGAGUCGAGACGCGUUUGAUAUUAUGUUGACAGUUUUUGGAAGCCUACUCCUGGUUGGUCACAUCUUGCCAAAGAGCAUGUAUGAGGCACAGAAACUCCUUCGUGCACUUAAGAUGCCAUACGAGCAUAUACAUGCUUGCUCGAAGGGAUGCAUCUUAUUUAGGAAAGAGUAUGCGGAAGCAAAAUACUGUGUGAAGUGCGAAUCGUCUAGGUUUCUGGAGGUUGACUGUGGUGACAGUCAGAAAAAGCAGCUCGCAAUUCCUGUGAAGGUUCUACGGUAUCUUCCUUUCAUACCGAGGAUCCAACGGCUUUUCAUGACUAAAGAAUCCGCGAAACAGAUGACAUGGCACAAAAAUGGCCGUCGCUAUAAUCCUGAGAAGCUGGUACACCCAUCCGAUGGUGAAGCCUGGAGAAGCUUUGAUGCGAUUUAUCCUGCAAAAGCUCUAGAGGCCCGUAACGUACGCGUUGCGUUGGCAACUGAUGGGUUCAAUCCUUAUGGAAUGGCGGCCGCCCCGUACACCUGUUGACCCAUUUUCGUUAUCCCCCUGAAUCUCCCACCCGGCGUCCUAUUUCAAUGACAUAAUAUAUUCUUGUCGUUGAUAAUUCCAGAGCAUCCGGGGAAUAAUAUGAGUGUGUAUAUGGAGCCUCUGAUUGAUGAUUUGCUCCGUGCUUGGGAGGAAGGGGUAUGGACCUAUGACCGAUCCACAAAGACAAACUUCAAGAUGCAUGUUUGGUACCAGUACUCACUGCAUGACUUGCCGGCAUAUGGGAUUUUCUCCGGAUGGUGUGUUCACGGGAAGUUCCCAUGCCCAGUAUGUAAAGCAUCUUUGAAGUUCAUUUGGUUGUCGAAAGGUGGCAAAUAUUUUUCGUUCGACAAACAUCGACAAUUCCUCCCUCCUGACCAUCCAUUUAGAUGAGACAUCAAAAACUUUACCAAAGAUGUUGUAGUUACAGCCCCCGCACCGCCGAUGAUGACAGGGGCCGCAGUUCGUGCUCAGUUAGACGCUCUUGAGGUCAAUAAUGAAGAAGGUGGUUUUUUGGGAUAUGGCGAGCAACAUGCUUGGACGCAGAAGUCGUGCUUGUGGAAGCUUCCCUAUUUUGAUGAUCUCCUUGUUCCACAUAACAUUGAUGUAAUGCACACGGAAAAAAAUAUCGUCGAGGUAAUUUUUGGUACAAUAAUGGACAUUCCUGACAAGACAAAGGAUAACGUUAAGGCUAGAGUGGAUCAAGCGACAUUGUGCAACAGACCACAGCUAAACAUGGCGCCUCCAAGAGCUGGCAAGUCGUGGAGGAAGCCUAAGGCCGAUUUCGUUCUAACGAGGGCCCAAAGGAGGGAGGUUCUAGAAUGGUUCCAAACAUUAAUGUCCCUGAUGGCUAUGCAGCGAACUUGAAGAGGGGAGUGAAUUUAGCAACUAUACGAAUCAACGGGCUCAAGAGUCAUGAUUACCAUAUAUGGCUUGAGCGCCUACUUCCGGUGAUGGUUCGAGGCUAUGUCCCUGAGCAUGUGUGGCAGGUGCUAGCGGAGUUGAGCAAUUUCUUCCGCCGACUUUGUGCGAAGGAGUUAUCUCAUACCGUGGUUGCAGAAAUGGAAACAAUGGCGCCUGUGUUGCUCUCUAAGUUGGAGAAGAUCUUUCCUCCAGGCUUCUUCAAUCCAAUGCAGCAUAUGAUUCUACACCUCCCGUAUGAAGCACGAAUGGGGGGCCUGUGCAGGGUCGUUGGUGCUACUCAAUUGAGAGAUGUCAAAAGGUUCUUCGAACUAAAUGUAAGAAUAAGUGCAGAAUUGAAGCAUCCAUUGCAGAGGCAUACAUUCUGGAGGAGGUGUCAAACUUCACAUCGAAAUACUACGCUGACAACCUUCCUAGCGUGCAUAAUCCACCUCCUCGUUACAAUGCCAGCGAAGAUGAAUUAAGCUUUAGCAUUUUUCGAGGGCAACUCAGAAGUGCAAGUGGUGCGACCCGCAAGACCCUUAACCAUGAAGAGUGGCGCUCUAUCAUGCUGUAUGUGUUGACCAACCUAUAUGAAGUGGAGCCGUACAUGAUGUAAGUCAUCGACAAACUUGUUUCGAUGUAGUCAUGGUAUCUCUUGCCUAAACGUAUCUUUCUCGUUGCUAUAGGCAAUUUCAUCGUCAAUUCUGGCGUAAAUCAAGGCAACCGUACUCGCAUGAAGCUGAGACUCUUCUUAAAGAGGGUGCGGGAAAUGGAAUGCCCGAUUUCAUUUCUUGGUUCAAACAGAAGGUACAAUUUCAUUUCUUUGAACAUUCUCGUUCUCGUACAUACGAUUAAUAUAACAAACCGCCCUGUUUGAACUUGCAGGGCCGAACCGAUGCGUCUAUGAAUGUCGAGUUGAGACAGGUUGCCGGUGGCUGUGACUAUAGGGUCAGGUCGUUUGCCGGUUAUGACGUCAACGGAUAUAGGUUUCACACAACAAGGCACGAGCAGAGUCGGCCCAAUCGAAGAACCACAAAUACCGGAGUUUUCACGCCAGGCUCCGAUGGGGUCGAGUACUACGGAAGAAUUGAAGAAAUAUACAAACUCACUUUUCAUGGGUGCAAACCUCUUAAUCCAGUUAUAUUCAAAUGCCAUUGGUUUGAUCCAUCUGUCGUGAGACGGGCCCCUAACCUUGGGCUAGUCGAAAUUCGACAGUCAUCCAGGUUACCAGGAGACGAUGUCUAUAUUGUGGCUCAACAAGCCACGCAAGUUUAUUAUUUGUCAUACCCGUGCCAAACCGACAGCCGUCUUAAGGGUUGGGAUGUUGUGUACAAGGUAUCGCCACACGGUAAACUACCUGUACCAAACAAUGAAGAUUACAAUAUAGACCCCGACACGUACGAAGGAGAGUUAUUCCAAGAAGAUGGGCUCGAAGGGAGUUUUGUGAUAGAUUUAACCGAAGCGAUCGGAAUGGAAGUAGACAAUGAGAGGGUUGCUGCAGAGGACGGUGGAGACGAGGUUCAGAAUGUGAAGGACUUAGAAUUACUUCAAUGAUUACAGUUAGCUAAUGACAGUGAUGACGACAUUCCUUCUUCGGAGCACGAGCUUGACUAUAUCGACACGCGUGAUAGUGAUGAUGAGACUUAUGAUCCAGCUAAUCCCGAUCAUGAUGAUUAUUUCUAAUAUAUGUAUGAUUCGUACUAAUUUAGUUAUAAUUUAAUUAUAAUUUGCAUAUCUUUGUAAUUAUGUUUUGUUUACCUAUGCUGACUCGUGUACUCUUUUUAAUUGUAGGUCAUUAAGCAAUGGUGGGCGGUAUGAGGAAGCUCACGUCAAUUUGCGAGAGACUGGCCACGGCAGGGACUGGUUCAGGGUCAGGGUCACGUUCAGGGAGCGGUCGAGGGAGGCGUUAAGGCAGGCCUCGACGUAGGGUUGAGGAGGAGGAGGAGGAGGAGGUGGUGGUGGUCCAGAGGCCUCGAGGGAAGGGUAAAGCGGCGAGGCCCCCGUCGCCUGAACCUGAGGUGGAGGAGGAGGAGGAGGAGGAGGAGGAGGUACCUUCCGCACACGCCUCUGCGGACGAGGAGGCGGAGGAGGAGGAGCAGCAGGAGCAGGAGGGGGACGGGGAGGCAGGGGAUGCCCAGUCCAAGAUAUGGUUGCGAGGUCCCUCAUCCCUUCCGAAGCGGCCGAUACCUGAGCAUUUACGCCCGCUGAUUAAACCGGUUGGGACCAAGUAAGUAACUUUAAAUAUUCUUAAUAUUGUUAUUAUGUUGAAAGUUACAAAAACUAAUAAUUCAUAUUAAUGACUUGUGCAGGAGUUGGAUUAAGCUCAGUGGGGGUGACCACAACCGUAAGGCCAACGAGAUCCUUGGCCUUUUGUGCAGGGUUCACUUCCCUGGCUUGGUGGUGUACGCCGGACAGCUGCAGCCGGCCUACACGUGGGACCACUACGUCGCCGCCCCCGACGUCCCUGAUCGUCAACAGAGAAGAUUCCCCAACAAAGCGGAGCGGGUCAAGGCCGAGCUGUGGGUAAGUACUCCUCGUACUAAAUUGCUCAAUACAUCACCUACUUUCGACAUUCUUGAAAUAAUAACUGUAUACGCAUGUAUAUGCAGGACUUCUAUAGAUGCCCGGAGGGGUUCGAGGCCAAGGCGAAGGCCGUCUGUGAUGUAGCCGCCAAGAAGCUCGUGAAGGACAUGCAUUACGAGGCGCGCAUCCAGGCCAUCAUCGAAUUCCACGCUCAAUACAGACAGAUGAAGGUUAGAAAAGAGGAGGCAAGAACAAUGAACAUGACUAAGGACCAAUUCAUGAGGGUAAGUAAAGAACGUUGAUGUUUACUAUUUAUGAUUAAUUAGGCUCAUUUUCUUGUUCAUAUGUCACACGCUUGAUGAUGUAGGUGCCUCCGUGGUGGUGUCGUGCGCAUAUGCCGUGCUGGGAGAGGAUGGUCGACGUGUGGUUGGAGCCCGGGUGGUUGGAGAACCACCUUGCUUGCUGGCAGCGGCGUUUGCAGAUGCCGACUGCACCACACCAUCAAGGCAGCCUAAGCCUUGAUGAAUAUAGAGAAAAAUGGGUACGCAACUUCAAUUCUUUAUUGUAACGUUCAGUUCUACGUAAUUUUUAAUGAUUUUGUAUUUUGCCGCAGUCGGCGUCACAUGAUGGCCGACCAUGCUCCCAGCUCAAGGCAUGGGUCCUCUCCAAAAAGGGCAAGGCGACGGUCGAUAUAGAUUUCAACCCAGACGACCCGUCCGAGGCGUACAGCCACCCUAGCAUACACAACCGCAUCAGCGAGUAUACAAAGAUGGCUAGGGAGGUUCACGGGCCAGACUUCGAUCCGAGCUCCGAGGACAUUGAUGGAGAAAUCGUGAUGAGGGUGGGAGGAGGCAAGAAGCAUGGCCGAUAUUGGAUUGGCGACGGCGUCAUCGACACGGCCUCUACUCCCACUCUCUCCCAGAUCCGAGCUAGGAGCACGGACUCGAGCCUGGCGAUACGGCCAUGACCCACCGCUGCACAGUUCCAGAUGGAGGCUCUACAGGUUCUUUCUCUUCCAUUCAUCGUUCAUUUGUUGUUAUACUUUAGCUUUGCAUUAUAACAUUGCAAUGAAAAAUUGUAGGCCCAGGUGGAAGAAUCAAGGAAGAAACAAGAGGAGAUGGCGGCGCAGAUGGAGGCGCAGAUGGAGGAAAUGCGGCGGAGGAUGGAGGAGGAAAACCGGAUUAGGAUGGAGCAGAUGUUCCAGUACAUGCAGAACUUUGCUUCAAGCAUGGGACAGUCUUUGCCUCCGCCACCGCCGAUGAUGUUCCCUCCGCCUCAGCCACCCACGACUACUCCUGUGAGUCACUUGACACAUUGUGCUUAAGAUUUAAUACUUUAAAUUUGACAACUUUAGAUGUUAGCUCAGAAUAUCCUAUCCUAUGUGCAUAAUCAAUCGGCGGCUUCGAAUAAUGAAGAUCAAGAUUUGUCGCAGUGGUCUCCUUGGCCUCCACGGAAGUAGACUUGGUUGUGAACAAUGUGGAAACUAAAUUGUGACAAGAACUUGGAUUUAUGGAUUAUUUCGUGCUGAUGUUGAAUUAUGCCUGUGGUGUUUAUGAAUUAUGCCUGUGGUUGUGAAUUAUGCAUGUGAUUGUUUAUUACAAAUGCCUGUGAUAUGUGUAUUGUGAAUUGAGAGGGGUCCGUUAUACGUGACAAAAUGUUGAAAAAGGGGGGGUUCUGGUCACUUUGCCGAGUGUAACACUCGGCAAAGAGGGGCCUUUGCCGAGUGUUUUGGCUUUAACACUCGGCAAAGAGGCAUUUCCCAGGUGUAGGAAAGCUUGUUUGCCGAGUGCUAGGGACAAGGCACUCGACAAACAAGGGGUCUUUGCCGAGUGCCAGGCGCGAGGCACUCGGCAAAGGCCCUAAUUCCCAGCUACCUGGGCAGGGUUGUUUGCCGAGUGCCCACCCUAACACUCGGCAAAGGGCCCGUCUUUGCCGAGUUCCCGGGACACGGCACUCGGCAAAAAAGCCGGCUUUGCCGAGUGCCCACUCCGUGACACUCGGCAAAGACCCGGUGUUUGCCGAGUGCCUCCCGUCUGGCACUCGGCAAACCCGCCGUUAACCCCGACGCCGUCAGCGCGUAUUUCACCGAGUACAUCUUUUCGCCGAGUGUUUUUUGGCCGUCGGCAAAAUGUUUGCCGAGUGCUCGCGUUUUGACACUCGGCAAACUAGUCUUUGCCGACACAAAAUUUGCCGUGUGCUCUUUGCCGAGUGUUACACUCGGCAAAGCCUUUGCCGAGUGUUUUUGGGCUUUCGCCGAGUGCCUCUGGCACUCGGCAAAGCUUCUGUUUCCCGUAGUGAUGCUAGAUGAUGUGUCCAUGCCUUGCUAACGUCUUCUACAUGCCAUGCGAGUUAAAAAUCCUGCAAUCAUGUUUCGUGGUAGCAGUUUACCUUUGCACAAUGAAACUCCUCACUAAAAACACAGGUCAAUUUGAGGGACUAUUGUGUUAUUUUUACAGGGAUCUAAUGCCAUCAAUCAAAUUGUAAAAUACAGACAGGUGCGCGUGGAAUGGACACUUGUGUUCAUUCAGAUUUUUGUGAUAUUUCAUACCUAAUGAUUACCAGGUUGUCACGCCCCUACAUGCAAAAUUGGUCUACGAGAUGGGAUAUGAGCUCAAAAUGACGUGAGAGCUGUAUUAUCAUGUAGCUCAUGACCUGGCAGAAGUGAAUAGUUGCACGAAAUACAACAUUGCAAACAAGAUUUUAUUCAUUCUCUCUGCCGAUGGCACACGGUAGCAGAAGCAGUGCCACCAAUUGGUGAAAGAUUUUCAGUAAACUGAGUGUUUGACAGAACAAUAUGAUGCCACCAAAGCAAUCUGCAUGAGUUCUCUACCUCCGGAAGUCCAGAUGCUUGCUCUGUUUCAUUGCUGUAGCUCAUGGCAACUCUGGCAGCACCAUGGUCAUUUGCUGCACCAUUUUUCAGAAUAUGUAAAAUUCAAGUCAUACCAUGCAGUUGAUGGAGAUAAAGAUAUGCUCCAAAUGAAAUGAUUAAAAAAACAAUCAUAUUUAUUCUCCAGGCACCAAUGGAACUCAUUCCCGAUGUCACUUGUCUCUGCCUGUGCCUACAUCGAGGAAGUAGCAUGCGAAUGAGAAAGACGAAGAUAAGUACCAAGAGGUAAAUGUAUUCACUUGUCUCUGCAUGUGCCUACAUCGAGGAAGUAGCAUGCGAAUGAGAAAGACGAAGAUAAGUACCAAGAGGUAAAUACAUUCUUGAGAUAAAUAGAUAAAUAAAACCAAGGACCAGCCCGUGAAAAUAAGUACUCCGUUUAAGAUACUAUAUGCACAAUAAUCUUUACUCGUACAUAUUUUCUGUACAGCCAUGUACAAAGUUCAGCUCACUGUCAAGAGGUACACCAUACGACUGCAAGCUCAAAGAAUAGAAGAUUAUUACACACCACCCAAACUCUACCUUUUGUACAUCAGGUGCUCGAGAAACAUACAUUGGACGAGUAGAAUAAAAGUUAUAAAUCAUAUCAACAAUCCCAGUUAAAUACGGUGUUUCCGAAACAACCAACCGUUCUUGGGCGUAAUCUUCCUGACACUAUCCUGGAGAAACUGGAGCGUGCCUGGAGACAUGUGAGCCCUGUCCAUUGUGUUAACCUUCGCCGCCUUUCGAGGGGACAAGGCACACUGCAUUGCCCAGAUUGCAAGGGGGCGCAUGUAUAUCAAUGACCUAUAGUGGCCAUCCACUGUCCAUGCUUCUGGAGUUUGAAACCAGUACCUGAAUUUGUCAAGGAAAUUGAUUAUUAAUUAUUAGCAUAAAUUGGUCCAAUAAUGUGACUCCAUUUCUGUUACGAAACAAAUCGAUGAAUGCGCUGAAUCCAAGAUAGUGCGAUCAUAAAAGAACUAUAUCCAUUGCCAGUAACAAUAAAUAAUCUUAGCAGUCUUAAGCAGCAUUAACUUCGCAUACUGCAGGAAAAUGUACAGUAAUAUCUAAACCCUUUAUGACUUUAUCUCAUACUAUUACUUAACCAUUGUCAUCUCAAAGGACGAACUAGUAUAUGAGAACUACUCACAUUAUGAGAACUACUCACAUUACUAUGCAUAUCAUGUACUGGGAAAAUGAUGCUAGGACUGCCAGUGGCGGGCGCAGGAUUUGGACUAUGGGUAUUCAAAAUUGAAGAUGGCAAGAAAAAAAAAUGACAGACUAAAUUAUAGUUUUAUAACACAUAAUAAUUAAGUGGUAGCAGCAUCAUUGAUUAAUAAAAAUUAUCAGAAAUUGAAAUUGUCCAGCUACUAAUGAUCAACAUAUCAAAGUGGCAACAUGUGAAAUAAAUAGAGGCUAAAACAAUAAAAUGGUAACAAAGAUUACAACUUACAAGCUAUAGGACAACUUUCCGUUCUGCAAUGCUUUGAAAAUGAGCGAUGAUGUCUUUAUCUUUAGCUUGCAUGAAGAAUUCCCUUUCAAUCAAUGUGACCAAGCAACCAUUCAAAUAUUUCUGCCCCAUCUUACUCAAAUCAGUAGCGGCACUACCCUUCCUCUUCAUGGUUCAAACCUAAAAGUUACACAAUUUCAACUUAUCAGAUAUUUACAAUUUCACAUUGAACUAAAUUCGUGAGCAUCCACAUUUUGCAAGUUGAUGUGCUAUUCCAAUCUGACAAACAAUUGAAAAUGAUUACCUCAAUUUCACCAACAAUCAGCAGUUUGGGGGCAGACCGAUAGUACUGUCGCGGUGUCGCCGCGUGCUCGUCGUGUCGCCCAGUAGGUCGCCGCGUGCUCUCCGGGUUGAACGGCGGCGCCGCCGCCUGCUCGUCGGCCCGCCGCGGAGCCGCUGCCUGCUCGCCGGCCGCCGGCCCGCCGCGGAGCCGCCGGCCCGGCCGGCCGGCCGCCGCUCUGGGGUCCCUGCCUCACUGCCUGCGUGCGCCGUGCGCCGUGCGGGCUGCAGGCGCCACCUGCGCGCCAGGCGCCGAGCAGGCCGGCGCCGCCAAGGCGCACCGCGCACCGCGCUGGGCGCUGGCCGCCCGCGGCCCGCCUGGCGCCUGCCGCCGACCAGGCAGGCAGGCACGCGCCUCCGCCGGUCCACCCCCCAGCCACCUCCGGCUCGCCACUCGCCGGCCGCCGUGGAUCCGCCUGCCGCCGGCCCGCCGCUCCGGCUCCGUGCGCCUCUGCUCGCCGCUCGGCGCCAACACGCGCCGGCCGCACUGCCGCAGGCCGCCCGCCGGCCGCCGCCCUCCUAGCGGCUAGCCCGCCAGCGCCAGCCGCGGCCUACCACCGUCCGCCGGGCGCCGCCACCGCCGGUCCGCCGCCGCCGCCGCCGCCGCCGCCGCCGCUACUCGCUAGGGCCUAGGGUUUGCGCGCCUGGAGACUCCUGGAGCCGUGCGCGUGAAUGUGCUUCGGUGGGGGUGGGCUGGUGGCCGGUGGGGGACUGGGGGCGUGGGCAGGCCGGAUGGGCCGGAUGGGCCAGUUGGGCCAGUUGAGGGAGAGCGAAGUUGGCCUCCGGUGGGCCUUUUCGAGUGAAAUGUGUAUGCUAGCUUUUGUAUUUUUGUUUUUUUCAUACAUACACCUAAAAUACACUAUAUAUAUGAAAUUUUUUUGCAAAAAUAAUGGGUAUUCAAUUGAAUACCCUUGAAUCAAAGUGGGCCCGCCCCUGCCUCUCAGCAUAGUCAUCAUGUCCAAGGCUGCGGGCCAGUGCGGCUGCAGCUUGCAGUGCAGUUCGAAGGCAAAGGCAACCAGUACGCACUUACUCCUUGAACUAUCCAAGCAUCAUAAGUUUGAUAAGGAAAUCCAUAAUUUUCAAUCAUACCAUUGUUGCGAUACGAGGUAGGCUACACUAGCGUAAAUCAAAAUUUCUACCGCGUAUAACCAGGAAGAACUGCCGUAUAAGGAUCACGGGAUUACCACUCGACGCACUACUGGUGCGGAAGAUGUAGAUAUGCGUCGAUGCAGUGAAGACGAUCACGUAGUUGUACGUAGUCGAUCAAUGUAGUCGUACGUAGUCGAUCACGUCCAGCAGCUCCUCAGCAGCUCGUCCACGUGCACAGCAAGAUCGCCUCCGGUACCGCGGCUCGUCGUCGGCUCGUCAUGGCACGUCGGCGGCUCGUCGGCGGCUCGUCCAAGUGCUGCAGGCGCAACACCUCCAAGGUAUCCACACGUGCAGGGAGGAAGCGUCGCAAGCCGGAUUGCUAGAUCCGCGUGUUGCAGCAGGCGAGGGCGUGGGAGGCGCGGCAGGUGUGUUUCGCCAAAAGGUGUAAACCCUAGGGCACCCCCACCCCUCUAUUUAUAGAGGUUCCUGAUGGGCCUCUGGAUCCGAGGCCCAUUAGUACUCCUAAACCUAAUCCAACUCGGAUCAGAUCCGAAUUGGGCUUCCAGCCCCUUAAGUGUGUGACCCUAUGGGUUCGAAUUCGUAUAGACAUGGCCCGAGUACUCCUACUCGGCCCAAUAGUCGGUAGCGGCCUCUAGCAAGACGUGCCAACUCCUAUACGCAUACGAAGAUCAUAUCAGACGAACCAUCACAACAUAAUAUACAUGCUAUUCCCUUUGCCUCACGAUAUUUGGUCUAGCUUCAAGCCGACCGCUCUUUCUCGAUCCUGUGAUUCGGAAUCCCUUUGUAGGUUAACUCUUAACCGUACGUAGCAUGGCCAUGCAUUUUUCGGAUCCGGUCACUCGAGGGGCCCAGAGAUAUCACUCUCAAUCAGAGAGGGGCAAAUCCCUUCUUGAUUUGACCAUGUCUCAUAGCAUGCUUCUUGACAAACCCGAAAGCUACCUUUAUAACUACCCUGUUACGGCGUAGCGUUUGAUAGCCCCUAAGUAGGUCGAUCCACAUCUAGAAUACAUGCGACAAUCUCAGGUCUAAGGACAAAGCGUAUAUGUUGUUUAAAGAGAGAACUACUUCUCGUGUUGGGUCAGUCCUAACACAUGUCUCCACAUGUGUCCACAUUAUUAGUUCAACAUCUCCAUGUCCAUGACUUGUGAAACAUAGUCAUCAACUAAUACAUGUGCUAGUCUAAUAUUCAUGUGUGUCAUCACAUGAACUCCGACUAGGGACAACUUUAGAAUAACCAUACAAGUAAAGAGUUUCACAUACAAUUCACAUAAUUGCAAAUCAAUUCAAGUAGCCUUUAAUGGAUAUUCAAUGAACACAAUAUACAAAUCAUGGAUACAAAUGGAAUAUCAUCAUCUCUAUGAUUGCCUCUAGGGCAUACCUCCAACAGUCUCCCACUUGCACUAGAGUCAAUCUAGAAGGUACCUAAUACCCAUAGCUCUUACAUGCGCAUCAUGCUUAGCCUGCGGGAGUGGUUUUGUCAACGGAUCAGAAAUGUUCAGAUCCGUGUGUAUUUUGCAUAUCUUGAUCUCACCCCGGUUAACGAAGUCUCGAAUGAGAUGAAAUCGCCGCAUUACGUGUUUGUUCUUCUGGUGGUUCCUUGGCUCCUUUGCUUGCACAAUAGCCCCAUUGUUAUCACAGUAGAGAUUCAAUGGGUUGGACGCAUUCGGGAACACACCAAGCUCAAUGAGGAAAUUCCUUAUCCAAACACCUUCCUUCGCGGCUUCCGAAGCUGCGAUGUACUCGGCUUCUGUCGUAGAAUCGGCCACCGUCUCCUGCUUGGAACUCUUCCAACUAACAGCACCACCAUUUAGCGUGAACACAAAUCCUGAUUGUGACUUUGAAUCAUCUCUGUCGGUUUGGAAACUAGCAUCGGUGUAACCUGUUACAACGAGCUCUUCCUGACCUCCAUAGACGAGGAACAUAUCUUUAGUCCUUCUCAAGUACUUAAGAAUGUUUUUCACUGCUGUCCAGUGACUCUCACCUGGAUCAGAUUGGUGUCUGCUUGUCAUACUUAGCGCAUAUGAAACAUCUGGGCGAGUACUUAUCAUUGCAUACAUGAUAGAUCCAAUAGCCGAGGCAUAUGGCACUCUACUCAUGCGAUCCCGCUCAUCAGCAGUCGAAGGACACUGAGUCUUGCUGAGAUGUAUGCCAUGUGACAUAGGCAAGAACCCUUUCUUUGCCUCUUCCAUGCUGAACCGCUUCAACACUUUGUCAAUAUAAGUAUCUUGGCUCAGACCUAUAAGCCUUCUCAAUCUAUCUCUAUAGAUCUUAAUGCCCAGAAUAUAUGCCGCUUCCCCUAAGUCCUUCAUCGAAAAACUAUUUUUCAGUGAAGUCUUUACGGACUCAAGCAUAGGAAUGUUAUUUCCAAUCAGUAAUAUGUCAUCCACAUAUAAGAUUAGAAAUACUACAGAGCUCCCACUAACCUUCUUGUAAACACAAGACUCUUCUUCGUUCUUGGUGAAGUCAAACCCUUUGACCACUUCAUCAAAACGAAUGUUCCAACUCCUAGAUGCUUGCUUCAAUCCAUAAAUGGAUCUCUGAAGCUUGCAUACCUUUCCAGCAUUUUUCGGAUCGACAAAACCCUCGGGCUGUAUCAUAUACACGUCCUCAGCUAGGUUUCCAUUCAGGAAAGUUGUCUUGACAUCCAUCUGCCAUAUCUCAUAAUCGAAAUAUGCAGCUAUAGCUAGAAUAAUCCGAAUGGACUUAAGCAUCACUACGGGCGAGAAGGUCUCGUCGUAGUCAACUCCUUGAACUUGUCGAAAACCUUUUGCGAUAAGUCGUGCUUUAUAGAUGUGAACAUUUCCAUCCAUGUCCUUUUUCUUCUUAUAGAUUCACUUGCACUCUAUGGCUUUAACACCAUCAGGCGGGUCAACCAAGUUCCAAACUUGAUUGUCUCCCAUGGACUCUAUUUCGGAUUGCAUGGCACUCUGCCAUUUUUCGGAGUCUGGGUCCAUCAUUGCUUCUGCAUAUGUCGCAGGCUCAUCAUUGUCUAACAAUAAUAUUUCUCGCAUUUCGCGGAGCCUUGCUGACCUUCGUGGUUGUGGCGGUGCUUCUCUUGCCAUGGGUAUCUCAACUUGUUCUGCUACUUUAGCAUCACUCAUUGAUUCUUGCCCGAUCGGCUCAUCUUGAACUUCUUCAAGAUGCACUGUCUUUCCACUCUUUUCUCCUUUGAAAAACUCUUUCUCUAGGAAAACCCCGUUCCGAGCGACAAACACUUUGCCUUCUGAUCGGUUGUAGAAAUAAUAUCCCAAAGUUUCCUUUGGAUAUCCCACGAAAAUGCACUUAUCCGACUUGGGUGUGAUCUUGUUCGACUGAAGUCGCUUGACAAACACUUCACAUCUCCAAAUCUUUAGAAAAGACAAACUAGGAACCUUUCCAGUCCAUAUCUCAUAUGGUGUCUUAACUACGGAUUUAGAUGGUACCCUAUUUAGUGUGAAAGCUGCUGUUUCUAGAGCGUAUCUCCAAAAUGACAACGGUAGGUCUGACUGGCUCAUCAUUGAUCAAACCAUGUCUAACAAAGUUCGAUUACGUCGCUCGGACACACCGUUUCUCUGAGGUGUUCCAGGCGGCGUCAGUUGUGGAACAAUUCCACAACUCUUUAGAUGAUUGCUAAACUCGUGGCUCAAAUACUCGCCUCCACGAUCAGAUCGUAAGGCCUUAAUUUUCUUGCCACGCUGAUUUUCAACUUCAUUCUGAAAUUCCUUGAACUUUUCAAAGGUCUCAGACUUGUGCCUCAUCAAGUAGACAUAGCCAUAUCUACUAAAAUCAUCAGUGAAAGUUAUGAAGUAUUGGAAUCCUCCUCUAGCCGUCGUGCUCAUUGGUCCGCAUACAUCACUAUGUACGAGUUCCAACAAGUCUACUGCUCUCUCAGGAAAUCCUGUGAAAGGCGUCUUGGUCAUCUUGCCUAGCAAGCAAGCCUCACAUGUCUCGUAUGAUUCAAAAUCAAACGAAGUUAGAAGUCCAUCAGAAUGGAGCUUCUUCAUGCGCUUUUCACUUAUAUGACCCAAACGACAAUGCCAUAAGUAGGUAGGACUCAAAUCAUUAGGCCGAGGCCUUUUAGCACUUACAUUACAGACAGGUGAACCAUCAAGAUUUAAAACAAACAAUCCAUUCACAAUGGGUGCAAAAGCCAUAAACACAUUAUUCUUAGAGAUCACACAGCCAUUGUUUUCACUCGCAAAUGAAUAACCAUCCUCCAUCAAGCAUGAAGGAGAUAAAAUAUUUCGACUUAAACUAGGAACAAAAUAACAAUUAUUCAACUCCAUAAUAAAUCCUGACGGGAGGUGGAGUUGCAUCGUCCCGACGGUCAAAGCAGCAACUCUUACAUUAUUGCCCACGCGGAAAUUAACUUCUCCUCUUUCCACGCUUCUACUUCUUAUCAUUCCCUGCAUCGAAUUGCAAAAAUGAGCAACCGAUCCGGUAUCAAAUACCCAAGAAUUAAUAAUUGUAUCAGCGAGAAAUAUGUUGUCUAUAACAUUAACAACAAGCGUACCUGAGGUAGAAGUACUCUUACUUCCACCGUUCUUCAAGGAAGCUAGGUACUGCUUGCAGUUUCUCUUCCAGUGACCAAGUUCAUGACAGUAAAAGCACUCUUUGUCUGGAGCAGGUUCAGGUCCAGCUUUAACCUUGGGCGGUGGGUUUGGCUUGGACGUUCCAGCCUUGCCCUUCUUCUUCCAAGAAUUGCCCUUCUUCUUAAAGCUGGGCUUGUUCUGUAUCGCCAUCACAUGGCUGGUACUAGCGCUUUUCUUGAUGUCAGCCUCUGCUGUCUUGAGCAUACCACACAGUUCAUUCAAACCCUUCUCCGUUCCAUGCAUAUGGUAGUUCGAGAUGAAGUUCCCAUAGUUAGGUGGAAGAGAUGAAAGAAUGAAAUCAGUGGCCAACUCUUGGCCCAGUGGGAAGCCUAGCUUCUCCAACCGUUGAGUGUAACCAACCAUCUUGAUUACGUGUGGUCCUACUGCUGCGCCUUCUGCUAGCUUGCUCUCAACAAAGGCCUUAGACACAUUGAACCUUUCAGUCCUGGCCUGUGUUUGGAACAUGUCUCUAAGCGCCACGAUCAUAUCGUGCGCCUCAUGGUUUGUUUCGAACUGCAUCUGCAGCUCGGGUUCCAUGCAAGCAAGCAUAAGGCAGCUUACUUCAAGGUUAGCAUCACAUGCCUUCUUGUAAGCAUUCUUAGCAGCAGCGGGUGCAUCAUCAGCAGGUUCUUCUGGUAGUGGGUUGUCUAGAACAUCUUCCUUUUUCUCAGCCCUGAGAACAAUUCUCAGGUUGCGGAUCCAAUCCGAGUAAUUUGUUCCAUUCAACUUGUCCUUCUCAAGGACCGAACGCAAAGCAAACGGUGUAGUGCUGCUAGAUGCCAUUUAAUCUACAACAAAGUAAUGCAAAAUACACUAAGACAAACGUAUCCAUGAUAGAGCAAAUUACAUUAAACUAUUUUAACAGAAUCUACUCCCACUAAAAUCAAUAUCCCUCUAUUGAAACUUAGUGAUUCAGGAUCCACAACUAACAAGUCCACUAGUGAGCUUUAGCAUCACCGCUAGCAAACGAGGUAGAUCGGUAAGCAACUUUUGCUAAUCAUAUCACAUAUGACUCCUGUUGUUGGGUGACAUCUCUAUGUCUCGGCGCCCAACCUUUAUGCCCCAAGGUCCUUAACCGUUAAGAUGACCUUGUUAAGCAAACCAACCCUUAUGCGUGUAAGUGUCCGACACAAACCCGUCUAGUCAAGGAAAACUAGUGGCACCCUAAUUUCAUAGACCCACCACUAAUUGUACAAGACAUGGGACGGUGCAAGUUUUAGUUGGGAGGGUGUUGGCGCUAGAAAUCGGUCAACCGAAUCCCAGCGACCGACACACGACCCGGGAGAAUCUGCUUAGCUCCUGUUCGGGUAAAUGCCCUGGUGUGGUUCGCGCGGCGUGCCAGCCAAUCUGACCUGUUGAUUGGCAAGGAAGAACACGUGUCAAAUUCAGAAACUACGAUCGGCUAAGUUUCCGAUCGAGAGAAGCUUAAUCGGCAAAUCGGCCGAUUUACUGUGAUAAUGAAAUCGGCUAUAAGACAGCACGAUCCCUGUAGCCUUGUAGACAGAAAAAUACUAAAGUAAUCGGUACAAAGCUUGUGAUAACAGCACUAGGAAAAGAUCUAAUCGGCAACGAAUGGAUCUAACGACAGAAGGUGAUGAAAGCCGAUACUACCGAUUCCUAGCGAGAUAACUGGUGAUAAAAACUAGGAAAACAGGUAAAAACCUAUGAAUCUAGUUGAUAUCGAUAACUGAUGAAUAAAUCUAAACGAAACAACAGCGAUGCGCCGGAAGUUAAAGCUUAGAUAUUACUUGAUAAGCGGAACUUACAGAAUCGGCCGGAGAUCAAGAUGAUGCAGCCCUGCCAACCCGCACGAACUCGUGAGAAGAAAAAGUAAUGGCGAAGUCGCCUGCUCGAAAGUAAGUACGAAGAAGAAAGUAACUUGUUGUAUUGAUUGAUUGUUGUGUUUACAGAUUUACAAAGGUAGCUAUUUAUAGCCCUGUACAAAUAACCUUCUUAACUGACUAGAACUCUAUCUCUAAUUCAAACAGAAAACAAAUAUCUACAAGCACAACCCGUGCUAAACUAGUUACCCCAUGCUUCGUGGGCUGACCUCCACCUUAUCCUUCCAUCUUUCCAAGCCCAUACAGGCCCAACUAGUCCAUCUUCCUGAUCGGCCGAUUUCUUAUCGGCAAAGGAUUGCCGAUUGGGAGUCUGGCGCAUUCACCCUGAAGCGAAGCAAAAGCUACCGGCCGAUUCCGCAUUAUAGCACCAUUUGACCGAUUCCCAACCGUACUUCUUCGACUUCUUUUCUCCUUGGCGCCGAUUCUACUGAUGACGAAAUCCGGCGUCAACACAUGCCCCCCAGUUUCGGAGUAAAACACAGUCUUUUACUUCGAAAUUCUUUAUAACCUCCCCUCCGAAACGGCCGCAGUGAAAAUAUCCUUCCGUUUCGCGGUCUCCCGGCUGAUCAUUGCAAUUUUUGAAACGGGCGCCCACGACAGCCACUACCCCGAAAAACUCGACACGCCGGCGCGGUGAAAAUUCCAUCUUUACCCUCUCUUCAGGCACCCUAUAAAUAACACCUCACCGCAGCUCAUCUUCAAGCUCACGUCUCUUUUUCCAACGCGCGCGCAUCCUUCUUUCUUCAAUUCUCCCUUGCCAUCGAAGUCUUCUAGUUCCAGCUCCUGUCACUUCUUCCCCUUUCCCUUCAAUGGCGACUCCUUCCGGCAAUUCCCCCGCACGCGAUGCUCCAGAGAUAGUGCCUCCGGUGGUGGUAGCGACGGCCGUCACUUCUUCCGCAGAUGAAAAAGCUUCAUCAGAAAUCCCAAUGGCGGUCCCCAUCAUGGCCCCGUCAUCUGCAUCCGCGUCGGCGACCACGCCGAUUACUCAGAACUUUAUCCCGGAGGUAAAUACCGAAUCCUUCCUCUAUCGGCAAUAUAUUCAUCUUAGAUCUAUUCCUUACAUUCCUAUGCCCCUUUUCUUUUUUUUUAGGCGGUUAGACAUAGAAUUACUAUUCACCUCACGGGCAAUCCUGGCCUUGUUUGCCUUGGCCCCAUGGGAGACCCAGAUCCGGCGGUUCUUAUAGAUUUGGAAACUUAUCGGAUACCUUUCAAACGAUCCGAUAUGAACUUAGAUCAAUGGGCAAGCACUUUUAGAUCCUGGCCGAAUGAAACCCCAGGUUGGAGGGAAUGGUACCAACGGGUGGCCGCGUCAAGGAGCGUCUCGUGGGAUGAGCUCAAAAUUGGCCAAUGUAUCAACCUCUCCCUGUCUCAAAUGGAGAAAAACGAGCCGUUAGUGAUGGCGACUUCCUAUUUUUGGUCUGACGCACUUAAUGCGUUCUUGUUUGGACACGGUCCUAUGACUCCCACUCUGGCCGAUGUGGUCCUCUUGACCGGCCUGGACAUAUCUUCCCCUGACAAACCUUUCCAGCUUUUGACCGUAACAUCGCAUCGGCUGGACACAAGGGGAAUCGGCGGCUGGAAGGGCUUUAUCAGUAGUAUCAAGAAGACCGGUACUGUUGAGAACAGGGAACACACCGCUUUCCUGAUGAUGUGGCUAGAAAAACACCUUUUCUGUAGAAGAGCCGCCGGCCCAACAACCAACACCCAAUCUUUAGCUGAAGCACUGUCCAAAGGAAACCAUAUUCCUCUCGGGAAACAUCUUCUGGGUGCCGUGUACCAUAUGCUCCAUCAAAUCAGUACGAAACUUUCCAAGGGAGAACCAAUCGGCAACCCAGGUGGGCCUUGGUGGUUCGUCAAUCUAUGGUUGAACCUUUACAUGAACAGAAUCACCCGGCAGCCAGUGGACCACAUGACGUUUCCCAAUAUCGAAUCGGCGGAGGACCCUACCGAGCGUCGCCGAUGCAUGUCUUAUGGUGAAGCAGCGUCAGCUUUUCCAGGUUGUGCGUAUUCCGCUACAAAGGUAGCCGAGUACUUUCGGUGCUUUUAUAAUGGAUUUAAUGAGGACGCAACUACCUGGUUUCCAUACCAGCGAGACAUCCCAGUCUUCGAGCUCCCCUCCUGCUUCGAUUCAACUUCUGGCCGGUUUGAUGAAGAUCUUUAUGAAGAACUGAUUAAACCAGGACUCUUACCGGCCAACUUCUUCUCGGGGAAAGAUGCCCCUACAUACGAAUUCUACAACCCGUCUACUGCCGCACGACAAUUCGGCAUGGGUCAAUUGCCGAUACGGGUGUAUUUUGCUGGCCGAAUCAAGUUCAGAGAUGUGCUUACAACUGGCCUGGAUUACUGUCGGCUGCGAGACCGAAUUCCGGACUCCAGUACAAUUAAUUUGAAUGACUGGCUAUUAUAUCCAUUUGCCAUCCAGCCGUUCAAACUUUGGUGGGCCGAAUGGAAGCAAUUUCUAUUCUGCAACUCAGCAUCGGCAUACUGCAAUCUUCUAGAUCCGGCCAACAUUGAUCCCAACGCCGAGGUAUUUCUGAUUACCAAUUUUGUUCUUUUCCAACAUGAUUGAGUACUAAUGAUUUCAUUGUUUCUUUAGGCCGAGAAUCAAACCCCUCCAACGCACAGCCGCAGCGGUCGGCUAAUGGAGAGCUACCCGUACACCACCUAUCCCCUUAUCGGCUAUGACGCUCCGUCAGUUGACAUGAUUGCUGGCCGAUCGAACAAGGUUCAUAAAAAGGUCAUCAAGAAAACCAGUCGCCGAGUCCGGGCUCGUACGACAUCGGCGGAUCCUCCUGUGCUCGUAUCGGCAGAAACCUUGACUGCAUCGCCCCAGGCCACACAAAGUACCGAUACUCAAGCCAUUGCACAAGCCGGAGCGGCUGCCGCCUCACUAUUGUUGGAAGCUUUACAAGUGAGUUCAAGCUUUGCCAUCUCCGAUCGUUAUUUACAUAUUAACUUUUUCUUAACUCUGUAUUCCCCAGAGCACCGCUUCGGAAAUACCACAAUCGGCGACAACUCGACCGGACGCCAACGCACCCUUGCCCUCAUCCAUUGAGGUAUAGUACUUAUCUUACGGAUUUCCUUCGGGUAUCCGUGUAAUAUUUUUGACCGAUUUUCUGACGCAGGCCAUCGGCACGCCGAGCGUUUCUCGACAACCGAUUUCUUCUCAGGGAGCUGGUCCGAGCACCGCACCGAUUAUUGUAGAAUCUUCUUCAUCAGAUGAACCCAUGGUACAGGCCACUGAGCAAGUCCCGACAGUUUUACAAGCACAGCAUGAAGAAAUUCGCUUUAAAAUGGUAAGCCACUAAACCAGCUUUCAACCAGCCGAUUCGCUCUGUUUCCCCGCCGACUCACCCUUUUUUUUUCUUAUUCUCUUAGGAGCAAGACUCUCCCGACAACAGCCUCUUCUCCUUCGCGGUUGCUCUUUCUGAUGAUGAAGAAAUUGCGUCCCGCCAAGUCGCUUUAAGCUCCGUUCCUGACGAUGUCCGAGCUAAACUUGCCAACAUCCGAUCCCUCCUGCAAGGGGACAUCGGCCGAUUGGUAGAAGAUGCUUCGCCGAUUCGGCAGCUCUUUAGCGACGUCAGCGGAUGGGUACCAGAGGAAGCGGAAGAGGCCUUGGCACCGGCGGCCUUUAUUGAGUCCAUGAGGAUCCUAGUUUUUAGGGCCCUUCGUCAUAUGGCCGAUCGCGCGAAGCUGGCCAAGACUCGUGAAGAUGAGAAUGCUUUUAAGCGUCAGGCUCAGGAAGCGAAUCGGCGUAUCCAUGUCUUAGAAGAUUCACGCCCGGCGAUCAUUAGUGAAAUAGAUCGCCUCAAACGACGGCGGGCGGAACUUGCCAAAGAGAUGGAGCAAGUGACCAAGGCAAUCAACGCUGAAGAGAACAAACUUCAAGAGUUACCCUCUGCUAUUGCCGAUUUGACACGGGAGAGGCAGCGUUUUGCUCAAGAGGCUCUGAGACUCCACCGCAACGCAUCGGAGGUCCCUGGAUCAGCAGAAGAAGACCAACGGGUUCUUGACUCUGCCGAUCAGAUCCGGCGUCGGGCCAUCACGGCUAUCGAUACCCUUUUGGGUAAUCUGUAAAACACUGACCGUUUUGUACGAACAUUUACUGCCUUCUUUGACCGACCCUUCGCGACGCCCUCUAUUUACUGCCUUCCUUAUUACCGAUGGGACGUGGCCUCAUCAGAUUUCCACGCAUUUCCCCCAUAAAUAUCGACCUCGGCGCUUACUCCCGAUAGCAUUGAUCUGGCUCCCCUUUUGCCUUUCCUCUUCCUCUCAUCGGCACGACUGUUUCGCCAUGGCCUCAUCGUCAUCCUCUUCUGUCAACCAGGUGAGGUCCCGCCUUCUCCUCUUAGAUCUUAGGAAACGAAUGCUUCACCUUAUUCCUUCUUUGUUUCAGCCCCAACGCCUUGGUCCGGAGCUCGUGCGCGCCAUCGAGUGCAUCCAUUCCGAAGACCCGUUGACCCCGGAGGACAAGGCUCUGCUUCUGGCCCAUCGAGAGGAGCUCCAAGACCACAUUACUGCAGAUGCUCGUGUAGUCUUGGAUGCCGUGGUGAACGAAAGCCGUCGCCGAUCUCCAGUCAUGAGGGGUCGUCAUCGUGACGUUCCCGGAGAUGACGUCACUUCGACAGCCCGCACGAUCCUGGACUUCUUGGAAAGGAAUGGCAGCCCGCGGCCUCCCACCGAUAGGGUCCGUCUGCUUCCUCGUCCCGUCAUCCUGGCAGCGGCAGAGGCCUCGCGCCUUCGUGCUUUGGAGCGGAAUGGGGAAUCAUAUCAGAAGAAGGAUAAUUAGUUUGUUUUUUGUAAUUUUUUGUUCUAAGGGCGACUUAAUGUUUUGUCGGCCAUGUAAUCUGUCGCCCGUACCGAAUGAAUAUAAUUGGCUACUCCGGUCGAUUUUAUGUGCUUGUUAAACCGACUUGUAUCGGCCAUGUAAGAUUGUGUUACGGCUGAUUUCUUAGGCUCCAACCCAUAUACUUGGGUAAUAUCUUUUUAAGUACCUCCCAUUCAGAGCUCUAGUGAAUUCUUCUCCUUCUAUUGUUUCCAAAAUAUAGGCAUUCCCUGGAGCACAUCUGCCGAUUUUAUACGGCCCUUCCCAGGUAGGAGACCAUUUGCCGAAUUUAGGAUCUUUCGAUCCGAUCGGUAGUACCAAUUUCCAUACCAGGUCUCCGGGGAAGAACUGCUUGACUUUGACCUUUUUAUCGUACCACCUGACCACUCUCUUUUUAUUCUCUUCGAUACUUAUCAGAGCCCUUAGCCGUUGGCCGGCCAAAUCAUCAAGUUCUCCCUUCAUCAGAGAUGAGUAAUCAUCGGCUGACAACUGGUCCUGAAGUGAGAUGCGCCUUGAUCCUGCCCUCGACUCCCAUGGCAGUACUGCAUCGUGACCGUAUACCAACUGAUAGGGAGAUAACUUGGUAGCCCCAUGACAGGCCAUUCUGUAUGCCCACAGGGCUUCGGUCAAACAUAGGUGCCACUUCUUCGGGUAUUCUUCAAUCUUCCUUUUGAUCAACUUGAUUAUUCCUUUGUUGGAAGGUUCUGCUUGACCAUUGGCUUGAGCGUAAUACGGAGAAGAAUUUAACAAUUUGAUGCCCAUAUCGGUCGUAAAUUCCUCAAAUUCCCCCGAUGUGAACAUUGUUCCUUGAUCGGUUGUUAUAGUUUGAGGAAUACCGAAUCGGUAGACGAUAUGAUCCCUUACGAAAUCGGCCAUGAUAGCCGAAGUCACAGUCCUUAGUGGGAUUGCCUCCACCCAUUUGGUGAAGUAAUCAGUAGCAACCAGAAUAAACUUGUGCCCCUUGCUCGAUGGUGGAUAAAUUUGGCCGAUAAGGUCUAUUCCCCACCCUCUGAACGGCCAUGGUUUGAUGAUGGGAUUCAUGGCCGACGCGGGUGCACGUUGGACAUUUCCAAACUUUUGACACUCCUGACAACCCUUAUAAUAUUUGAAACAGUCUUCGAGGAUCGUAGGCCAAUAGUACCCGUUGUUUCUGAUCAUCCACUUCAUCUUAUGUGCUGAUUGGUGAGCUCCGCAUACCCCUUCAUGGAUUUCUCCCAUUAGAGUCUUGGCUUCUUCUGUCCCAAGGCAUUUAAGAAGAACACCAUCGAUCGUUCGGUAGAACAGAUCAUCUUCGAGCAAUACGUACUUGGUAGCGUGAAAGCGCACUCGUCGCUCCACCUUUUUAGACGGAUCCUUCAGGUAAUCGGCAAUUUCUUUACGCCAAUCGUCCGCUGCAAGUUCUAAGGCCAUGGUGCCCGGAAUCGGCCGAUACCCAGAUGCGUGUUGAGCGAGUUUGUUUGCUUCCUCGUUGCAGUCUCUUGGGACAUGCUCGAUUACUACCGAUCUGAAUUCUUUUAAAAGCUGUAAGCAAUCUUCGUGAUGAAUUCGUAAUAUGUCAUCUUUGCACUCAGCCCUUCCGGUUAGUUGAUCCACAAUUAGCAUCGAAUCUCCGAAGACCUCAACAGAAUCGGCCUUGACUUCUCUCAAUAAUCGUAAGCCUUUUAAUACAGCUCUGUACUCCGCUUGAUUGUUUGUGGCGGCGGUUUCUAUCGGCAGAGAAAAAUUAUAUCUUGCCCCCCGAGGCGAUAUGAGAACGAUGCCGAUUCCUGAUCCGACUCCGCAUGAUGACCCAUCAAAAAAUAACUGCCAAGGCGCUAGUUCCACGAAGGCGAUCUCCGGCCCACAGUGCUGGGCGACGAAAUCGGCCAUGACUUGACCCUUGAUGGCUUUUGCCGAUUCAUACCGUAGGUCAAAUUCUGAUAAAGCUAAGAUCCAUUUACCGAUUCGUCCUUUCAAUAUCGGCAGCGACAGCAUGUAUUUCACUACAUCAUCUUUGCAUACGACUAUACAUUCUGCCGACAGUAGAUAGUGCCUGAGUUUGGUGCACGAGAAGUAAAGACACAAACACAAACGCUCCACCGGAGGAUAUCUUGUUUCGGCAUCCAGGAGUCUCCUACUGACGUAAUAAAUGACCCGCUCUUUGCCUUCAAACUCUUGGACUAGAGCCGACCCGAUAGCUUUUUCAUCGGCUGAUAAAUACAGUUUAAACGGUUUACCAGUUUGAGGGGGAACCAAGACUGGCGGUGAGACCAAGUAUCGCUUGAUAUCUUCCAACGCCUUGCGCUGUUCCUCUCCCCAUAUAAAUUCCUGGUCUGGCUUCAACUUCAGAAGUGGCGUGAACGCCUGAAUUCGUCCAGAUAGAUUAGAUAUAAACCUUCUGAUGAAGUUUACCUUGCCGAUUAGAGACUGUAGCUCAGUUUUGUUCUGUGGGGCGACGACUUUGUUGAUGGCCGCUAUGGUCUUCUGAUUGACUUCUAUGCCACGUUCGUGCACCAUGAAUCCUAAGAACUGUCCGGCGGAGACGCCGAAAGCGCAUUUGUUGGGAUUCAUCUUAAGACCAUGCUUCUUGGUACACUCUAGCACCCUUCGCAAAUCGGCUAGAUGUUCCUCGUGGCUUUUGGACUUGACCACAACGUCAUCGAUAUAGAUCUCCACCAGGAGGCCAAUGAGUUUGUGAAAAAUGUAGUUCAUGGCUCUCUGAUACGUAGCACCAGCAUUCUUCAAGCCGAAAGUCAUUACCACCCACUCGAAUAAACCAAGAUGGCCUGGACAUCUGAAAGCCGUUUUGGGUAUGUCCUCUUCGGCCAUAAGUAUUUGAUUGUAUCCGGCGUUUCCAUCCAUGAAGCUAAUAAUUUUGUGUCCUGCGGCAGCGUCGAUCAGUACAUCGGCCGUAGGCAUGGGGUAACCAUCCAUCGGUGUGGCCUGAUUAAGAUUCCUGAAAUCAACGCAAACGCGCAGCUUCCCAUUUUUCUUGUACACUGGCACGAUAUUAGAAAUCCACUCGGCAUAACGACAUUGCCGAAUAAAUUUUGCUUCAAUUAGCCGAGUUAUUUCAGCUUUUAUGUCUGGUAAAAUUUUAGGAUUGCAUCGCCGUGCGGGUUGUUGGUACGGCCGAUACCCUGGCUUUAUGGGUAGCCGAUGUUCAACAAUAGAUCGAUCUAAUCUGGGCAUCUCGUGAUACUCCCAAGCAAAACAAUCCUUGAAUUCUCUUAAUAAAUUUGUCAAUUUACACUUAUACUCCGGAUCUAAAUUUGCACUAAUAAAAGUCGGCCUUGGUUUGGUCCCGUCACCUAAGUCUAUCAUCUCUAAUGAAUCGGCCGACGUGAAUCCGUGUCCCAGCUUCCCGUCUUCUCGGGCGAACUGAUCCAUCUAUUGCGCUUCUUCGGAGCCGACUGCUCGGAUCGGCUGUAGGCCAAAAUCGGUGACCUUCAGGAAAUCGGUUUCCCACACCCUACCUGAUAUGCAUCUGACGGUUUCGCAGCUCCAUUGCUGUGCGUCGGCUGCUGCGAUGCUGUACGCGGAGUCGGCUUUGACCACCUCGAUGUUAUCGCCGACCCAUUGUACAAGGCAUUGAUGCAUAGUUGACGGGAUGCAGCAAUUUGCGUGUAUCCAGUCUCGGCCAAGAAGCAUAUUAUAGGACCCUUUGCCAUUAAUGACGAAAAACGUGGUAGGAAGGGUCUUACUGCCGAUGGUGAGGUCGACGCAGAGGGCACCGCGAGCGUUUGACACUUUGCCUUCGAAGUCCUUGAGCAUCAUGUCCGUCCUGGUUAGGUCGUCGUCGCUCUUUCCCAACUUUCGGAGUACGGCAUACGGCAUGAUAUUGACGGCAGCUCCCCCGUCGACCAUCAAUCUAGUGAGGGGGCGACCGUCAACAUGCCCUUUAAGGAACAACGCCUUCAUAUGUUGUCGUUCGUCGUCUUCGGGCUUUUCGAAUGUGGCCAUCAUUGGUUCUAAAGCCAACCGUGCUGUUUGUUCCUCUAUCGCCGACACGUCCUGUUGAUCGGCAGGGGUCAUGAACUCCAUCGGCAAUAUGAAAACCAUACCGAUCUCGGCUGCCGAUUCAUCACCCGCCGACUCAUUGUUUCCCUUGUCGUUUCUUUUGGGGCGCCACACCCGAGGCCUCCCUUCCUUCUUGUCCAUCACGCUCUCUUCUUCUUGCUGUUCCCAUUGGCGGAGGCGUUGGAUUCUCCGUUUUUGUGAUUUGGUUAAACCAUCGGGGCACCAUCUGGGGUUUAUUGGCCUCCCUUCUUUCCCGGCGCGUUCCCAUUCUGGCUCGUGUCCUAACGGGUUCUCGUCCGUUACCCGAGCAUCGGCCAUGUCUUCGAGCCGGCUGUGAACGCUGGCUUUGCUACUUGAUUGAUCAUGUCGAUCGGCCCUGCCCCCCUGCCUAUUAUGGCUUCUAUCUUCUGACCGAUCAUAUCGGUCACUUCUGCCCCCCAGCCGAUCACGCAUGGGAGGGCGCUGCUCAUCUGGGUUGCGCCAAUUCCUGCUGAUCGGUUCUGGCCUUCCGUCUCUGGAGCGAGACCUGGUGAACGGCCGAUUGCCUCGAUAGGGACCGUUGCACUCCGGGCAAGUAUCGGCCGACGGUAGCCUGAGGUUAUUUUCCCAACAAUGCACGAAGAAUGGGCACCUCCAGUGCUCCUCGUGCCGACGCAUCGCUUCCUCUCGGGACCUCGAGCGUUCAUGUUGGCGUUGGUACUUUUGGAGCAGGAACUGGGAAGUAAUGCGUGGUCCUUCUGACUCACCAUCAUCGUCCUCCAUUCGUCGCUUUCCCUUGAUGUCUUCAGACGUAACUUGAUUUCUGGGAUCGACAGCGCCACUCUUUUUGGCCGACUCGGACGUCAGCACUUUUGUUUGGAGAGAAUUCUUUCCCGUGUCAGCCAUGUUGGUAGGAAAAGGGUGCUGGUCGAUUUUCAUUGGUUUGGCCGGUUUUGCCGGCACUUCAAAUUUGAGUCUGCCCUGCUCAAUGGCCGACUGUAUUUGUUGCCUGAAGAUUUUGCACUCGUUGGUAUCAUGUGAUGUGGCAUUGUGCCACUUGCAAUACUUCAUCUUCUUCAAUUGUUCGGCAGAGGGUAUUGUAUGGUAAGGCGAGAGUUUAAUCUGCCCUUCCUGGAGUAGAAGAUCGAAGAUUUUGUCAGCUUUAGUUGUAUCGAAACCAAAUGCUUCCGGCUCCUUCUUGCCGAAUGGGCAUGAUAUCGGCUUCUUUCCCUUAAUCCACUCUGCAAGUCCGAUUUCGGCAUCUUCCUCGUCCUCUAAUUCUUCCAGGAAUGCCACUUUCUUCUGGAAAUUCCUUCUAGGAUCGAACGGACGCACUUCCUGCCCGGACAAUCGGUGGACAAUCUGGCUCAGGCUCUCGAACUCUUGUGAAGCAUAUUUUUCUUUAAUGUGUGGCAGCAGGCCUUGGAAAGCUAUAUCGGCCAACUGUGCGUCGGUUAGAGCCAGGGAGUAGCAUUUGUUCCUGAUUUCCCGAAACCUCUGUAUAUACGAGGGUAUCGGCUCAUCACUUCUUUGCCGGAGGCUAGUCAAAUCGGACAGCUUCAUUUCAUGGACCCCAGCAUAGAAGUACUUGUGGAACUGCCUUUCUAGAUCGGCCCAUGUGAUAAUUGAGUUUGGUGGCAAAGUUGUGAACCACUGGAAGGCCGAUCCAGACAAGGAUGACGAGAACAACCGCACCCGCAGGGCGUCUUGCGUAGCUGCCUCCCCACAUUGAAUGAUGAAUCUAUUCACAUGUUCCACGGUAGAGGUGUCAUCCAUCCCCGAAAAUUUGGUAAAAUCAGGAACUUUGUACCGAUGAGGGAACGGCAACAUGUCAUAUGUAGAUGGGUAUGGUGUUCUAUAGGUAUAAGUUUGUACUUUCGGCUUCAAGCCGAAUUGUUCUUGCAUUACCUCUGCAAUCUGUGCCGACCAAUCUGGUUGUUGCUGGGGAACAGUUGGCUGCGGUAUCGGCACGUGCUGAUAAAUCGGAGGCUGAAUAAAAGGAGAUUGAUGAAAAGGUGGUAUCUGAGUGUAAGCUGGUGGUGUAGUAAAGGACGGCUGCUUGUAUGAACCACUUGUUUCAUCAUAUAGCAUGAGCUCCGACGUCUUGUUGACCUCCGGAGCGAUAGGCUGGUAUGGUGGUAUGAUCGGCCGAGUGGCCGUUUGGGAGGGUGUCUGGAACGGAGGAUUUCCUUGACUGACCGAUUGAUUCAAACCGGUCGUGUUUAAAGGUGCCCCCCAGGGUAAAGGGAUGACUGGAGGGAGUGGUGCAGAGGACGGUUGGAUAGAGCCAUAUCCCAAAGGAGUUGAUGACGCAGAAGCACCGGAUCCUCCGACAGAGGAUUGUAGCGGCUGUGAAGCCUGAUAAGCCUGAUUUGGUGGAAUCGGCUGAAAAUACGUUGGUCCCCUGUACCCUUGAGGUAUACCUCCGGCGAAGGAGUUGACAACAGCAUUGUGCACCAUGUUUGAGAGUACCGGGGAUUGGUUGAUGAAGGCGUGAUGAAGAGAUUGUUCAAUCAUAUCGGACAUUUUAUCCGAAUCUUCAGAAAUUGUGAUCUGACGGGGAGUAGGGAAAGGAGACUUUUUAACAGUUUCCCCGCUCCUGGAACGACUGAAGGAUUUCAAGCAAGUUUUCCGGACUUGCUCCAAAUACUUAUUCAGAUCUUCUUUUUGGUCGUCCUUUAGAUCUGCUUCCGUCACUUCGAUGACGUUAUCUUCGGAGACUUCAGCAGCUUUCGACAUGACAGCGGUUGUAUUGGUCCCACCGGGCGUGCUAAAAGUGUGUUGGCGCUAGAAAUCGGUCAACCGAAUCCCAGCGACUGACACACGACCCGGGAGAAUCUGCUUAGCUCCUGUUCGGGUAAAUGCCCUGGUGCGGUUCGCGCGGCGUGCCAGCCAAUCUGACCUGUUGAUUGGCAAGGAAGAACACGUGUCAAAUUCAGAAACUACGAUCGGCUAAGUUUCCGAUCGAGAGAAGCUUAAUCGGCAAAUCGGCCGAUUUACUGUGAUAAUGAAAUCGGCUAUAAGACAGCACGAUCCCUGUAGCCUUGUAGACAGAAAAAUACUAAAGUAAUCGGUACAAAGCUUGUGAUAACAGCACUAGGAAAAGAUCUAAUCGGCAAUGAAUGGAUCUAACGACAGAAGGUGAUGAAAGCCGAUACUACCGAUUCCUAGCGGGAUAACUGGUGAUAAAAACUAGGAAAACAGGUAAAAACCUAUGAAUCUAGUUGAUAUCGAUAACUGAUGAAUAAAUCUAAACGAAACAACAGCGAUGCACCGGAAGUUAAAGCUUAGAUAUUACUCGAUAAGCGGAACUUACAGAAUCAGCCGGAGAUCAAGAUGAUGCAGCCCUGCCAACCCGCACGAACUCGUGAGAAGAAAAAGUAAUGGCGAAGUCGCCUGCUCGAAAGUAAGUACGAAGAAGAAAGUAACUUGUUGUAUUGAUUGAUUGUUGUGUUUACAGAUUUACAAAGGUAGCUAUUUAUAGCCCUGUACAAAUAACCUUCUUAACUGACUAGAACUCUAUCUCUAAUUCAAACAGAAAACAAAUAUCUACAAGCACAACCCGUGCUAAACUAGUUACCCCACGCUUCGUGGGCUGACCUCCACCUUAUCCUUCCAUCUUUCCAAGCCCAUACAGGCCCAACUAGUCCAUCUUCCUGAUCGGCCGAUUUCUUAUCGGCAAAGGAUUGCCGAUUGGGAGUCUGGCGCAUUCACCCUGAAGCGAAGCAAAAGCUACCGGCCGAUUCCGCAUUAUAGCACCAUUUGACCGAUUCCCAACCGUACUUCUUCGACUUCUUUUCUCCUUGGCGCCGAUUCUACUGAUGACGAAAUCCGGCGUCAACAGAGGGCAUACUAACUUAAACUUUGUGAGGGAUCGUUCUACUUUUAACAUCACAGCAUGCAGAAAGUAAAACAUAAACAGAAUAGCAUUCACACAGUUGUGACACAGUAUGACCCGUUUUCUUAUGGUGAUCUCCAUCUCCAUAGAACCUGUUCACCAUGGUGAUCUCCAUCUCCAUGUUCCAUGUGCGCCAUCCUCCUGGUGAUGAGUCCUCCAAGAACUAGAGCAUGCUAUUACGCCUGAUAGCUAGUAAAAAAUCUAGUAAUGAAGAUUACAUAGUUGCUUGGAUCAUCACAGAUUGGUACGCAGAUCAUUAAAUACAAUAAAGUGACAACACAUAUGGCUCCUGCCGUGUUGCCGUAUGCGCGACACGCAGGUCACGAAUGAGUUACACACAUGCAUCACAUACACAAGGGGGCCAUACUGAUCACAAGAUAAAUACAUACAUCCUGCAAAAGAGAGUUAGGCGUCCUAACGUUCCAAACUUGGGAGGCCCGAAACUCCAUCUUCCAAGCCGAAUUUGGGAAAUCUAAUUUCGCCAAAAACAGCAAAGCCGUUGAAUUUCAUGUGUAACUUUUUCUGUAGAUCAAUUUUCGUAUAAAAAUCGCCUCGAUCCGAGAUCGUACCGAAAAGUUACAGCUGAUUUACCGAAGCAUACGCAUACGGCAAAAUCCCGACCCCGACAGUAGAUCACAUCUACUAUUGCACAUCUAAUGCGCCUGGCGUAUGACCCUGGAUCUCGAUUCGACCAAUCAUAUUGAUCUUCGCUCACUGCAACUGGAUUUACGUGUAUCACUUAACUCCGAUGGCGGAAACCGACCGGUAGGAGUAUGUCGUUACACUACCAUUGCAGCAAGGGCACGAAAUCAGGACAUAGAUCAAACAGAGAACUCGCAUAUCUCCAUAUGCACACAUCCCGAAUCCAAAACUAAGCAGCUACGGCUCUGAUACUACUGUUGCGAUACGAGGUAGGCUACACUAGCGUAAAUCAAAAUUUCUACCGCGUAUAACCAGGAAGAACUGCCGUAUAAGGAUCACGGGAUUACCACUCGACGCACUACUGGUGUGGAAGAUGUAGAUAUGCGUCGAUGCAGUGAAGACGAUCACGUAGUUGUACGUAGUCGAUCAACGUAGUCGUACGUAGUCGAUCACGUCCAGCAGCUCCUCAGCAGCUCGUCCACGUGCACAGCAAGAUCGCCUCCGGUACCGCGGCUCGUCGUCGGCUCGUCGUGGCUCGUCGGCGGCUCGUCCAAGUGCUGCAGGCGCAACACCUCCAAGGUAUCCACACGUGCAGGGAGGAAGCGUCGCAAGCCGGAUUGCUAGAUCCGCGAGUUGCAGCAGGCGAGGGCGUGGGAGGCGCGGCAGGUGUGUUUCGCCAAAAGGUGUAAACCCUAGGGCACCCCCACCCCUCUAUUUAUAGAGGUUCCUGAUGGGCCUCUGGAUCCGAGGCCCAUUAGUACUCCUAAACCUAAUCCAACUCGGAUCAGAUCCGAAUUGGGCUUCCAGCCCCUUAAGUGUGUGACCCUAUGGGUUCGAAUUCGUAUAGACAUGGCCCGAGUACUCCUACUCGGCCCAAUAGUCGGUAGCAGCCUCUAGCAAGACGUGACAACUCCUAUACGCAUACGAAGAUCAUAUCAGACGAACCAUCACAACAUAAUAUACAUGCUAUUCCCUUUGCCUCACGAUAUUUGGUCUAGCUUCAAGCCGACCGCUCUUUCUCGAUCCUGUGAUUCGGAAUCCCUUUGUAGGUUAACUCUUAACCGUACGUAGCAUGGCCAUGCAUUUUUCGGAUCCGGUCACUCGAGGGGCCCAGAGAUAUCACUCUCAAUCAGAGAGGGGCAAAUCCCUUCUUGAUUUGACCAUGUCUCAUAGCAUGCUUCUUGACAAACCCGAAAGCUACCUUUAUAACUACCCUGUUACGGCGUAGCGUUUGAUAGCCCCUAAGUAGGUCGAUCCACAUCUAGAAUACAUGCGACAAUCUCAGGUCUAAGGACAAAGCGUAUAUGUUGUUUAAAGAGAGAACUACUUCUCGUGUUGGGUCAGUCCUAACACAUGUCUCCACAUGUGUCCACAUUAUUAGUUCAACAUCUCCAUGUCCAUGACUUGUGAAACAUAGUCAUCAACUAAUACAUGUGCUAGUCUAAUAUUCAUGUGUGUCAUCACAUGAACUCCGACUAGGGACAACUUUAGAAUAACCAUACAAGUAAAGAGUUUCACAUACAAUUCACAUAAUUGCAAAUCAAUUCAAGUAGCCUUUAAUGGAUAUUCAAUGAACACAAUAUACAAAUCAUGGAUACAAAUGGAAUAUCAUCAUCUCUAUAAUUGCCUCUAGGGCAUACCUCCAACAGUCUCCCACUUGCACUAGAGUCAAUCUAGAAGGUACCUAAUACCCAUAGCUCUUACAUGCGCAUCAUGCUUAGCCUGCGGGAGUGGUUUUGUCAACGGAUCAGAAAUGUUCAGAUCCGUGUGUAUUUUGCAUAUCUUGAUCUCACCCCGGUUAACGAAGUCUCGAAUGAGAUGAAAUCGCCGCAUUACGUGUUUGUUCUUCUGGUGGUUCCUUGGCUCCUUUGCUUGCACAAUAGCCCCAUUGUUAUCACAGUAGAGAUUCAAUGGGUUGGACGCAUUCGGGAACACACCAAGCUCAAUGAGGAAAUUCCUUAUCCAAACACCUUCCUUCGCGGCUUCCGAAGCUGCGAUGUACUCGGCUUCUGUCGUAGAAUCGGCCACCGUCUCCUGCUUGGAACUCUUCCAACUAACAGCACCACCAUUUAGCGUGAACACAAAUCCUGAUUGUGACUUUGAAUCAUCUCUGUCGGUUUGGAAACUAGCAUCGGUGUAACCUGUUACAACGAGCUCUUCCUGACCUCCAUAGACGAGGAACAUAUCUUUAGUCCUUCUCAAGUACUUAAGAAUGUUUUUCACCGCUGUCCAGUGACUCUCACCUGGAUCAGAUUGGUGUCUGCUUGUCAUACUUAGCGCAUAUGAAACAUCUAGGCGAGUACUUAUCAUUGCAUACAUGAUAGAUCCAAUAGCCGAGGCAUAUGGCACUCUACUCAUGCGAUCCCGCUCAUCAGCAGUCGAAGGACACUGAGUCUUGCUGAGAUGUAUGCCAUGUGACAUAGGCAAGAACCCUUUCUUUGCCUCUUCCAUGCUGAACCGCUUCAACACUUUGUCAAUAUAAGUAUCUUGGCUCAGACCUAUAAGCCUUCUCGAUCUAUCUCUAUAGAUCUUAAUGCCCAGAAUAUAUGCCGCUUCCCCUAAGUCCUUCAUCGAAAAACUAUUUUUCAGUGAAGUCUUUACGGACUCAAGCAUAGGAAUGUUAUUUCCAAUCAGUAAUAUGUCAUCCACAUAUAAGAUUAGAAAUACUACAGAGCUCCCACUAACCUUCUUGUAAACACAAGACUCUUCUUCGUUCUUGGUGAAGUCAAACCCUUUGACCACUUCAUCAAAACGAAUGUUCCAACUCCUAGAUGCUUGCUUCAAUCCAUAAAUGGAUCUCUGAAGCUUGCAUACCUUUCCAGCAUUUUUCGGAUCGACAAACUAGAACUAUAUAUAGUAAAUAGGCACGGGCUAAAAGUAUUAUAUGAUUUUGAGCUAAAUAAAUAUAGGGUUGGGUUGUGAAGGAGAUAUGGAUCUCGUAGCCAUGAGUGAACAAAACAGAGAGCGCCACACAUCGAUUAAAAGGUGGGCCGAAACAGAUAAAAGAUAAAAAAGAAUCAUAUCGGCCCACAAUGAAAUGUUAAACAGAAGAACGCAAAUCUUGAAAACAUAUGGGUCGUUCAAAACCGACGGGCUAAUCUUUCUACGUGCUGGGCUGAUCCCAUGUGGGCCGAUACAGACACGUCAGGACAAGAAGACCCACCCGGCCAGGCCCAGACGCAGGAGACAAGAGAUUGAAGAGGAUAGAUCGAAUCAAUAGCCAACUCCUCUCGUCGUCCUCGUCUCCAAAUCGAGGCAUACCCCAAACCCUAGCCAUCCCCAAUCCGGCCGCCGCGUCUACCGAUCCGUUAGAUCCAUGGCCGCCGCCGCCGCCGCCGCUGCCGGCGACUCCGCUGUACCCAACUGGGUGAUGCUGGAGCGCUUGGCCUUCCGGAGGGACGACCCCGCCUCCUUCCGCGAGGACAGGAGGACCUUCGCUUCCGGCACCACCUCCGCCGGCACUCAAUUCGACGUCUCCUUCAUCCUCGCCGAGCCUCCCACCCCCUCGCGCCUCUACCUCUCGUGGCCGGAAGGGCCCAAGAAGGGGGGCCAGGGCCUGGUCAUGGCGGCCAACCGCAACCUCGUCCUCUUCAGGCUCGACUCCCUCGUCGACGAAUCCGAGCCUUUCGGGCAGGUAGUGCAUGAUUACUUCAUCUACAUAGCUAAUCCCUCCUCACAGCAGACACCCCUGCUCAGACGGCUGCCCCCCUGCACCGAGUACAACGU